rnacentral:lncRNA from 1 species
GAAAAUAAUAAACUCCAAGGUCCCCUUCCAUCUUCAAUAUUCCAACUUCUCAAUCUUACCGGGCUCCUUUUAUCCUCAAAUAAUCUUAGUGGUGUCAUAGAGUUUCGCAUGUUCUCAAACCUUCCAAAUCUCAAAUAUCUUUACCUUUCAUAUAACAACCUAUCCUUAACAUCUAAUUCUACUUCUACUGUUAAUCAUAUAUUGCCUAAUCUUACAGACGUACUUUUGUCAUCUUGCAAUCUUAGUGAAUUCCCCCAGUUUUUAAAAGGGCUUAAAAGUUUGGAAAGCUUAGACCUCUCUUGCAACAAAAUUGAAGGCAAGAUUCCACAGUGGAUGCAAGAGGUGGGGAAUGUCUCUUUGACUUACUUCAACGUAUCUCACAACUCUUUGACAGAAGUUGAGCACUUUCCAUGGAAGAAUAUUGAAAGGCUUGACUUAAGCUCCAAUUUGAUCAGUGGAAAUCUUCCGAUUCCAGCUUCGACCAUCAGUGUCUUUUUUAUCUCAAAUAAUAGUUUCAAUGGAGAGGUCUCUUCUUUAAUAUGCAAUGCCAGUUCUCUUCGAAUUCUUGAUUUGUCCCACAAUAACUUGAGUGGACCAAUUCCGCAAUGUUUUGGAAAUUUGAGUGACAGCCUUGAAAUCUUGAAUCUGAAGAAGAACAAGUUCUAUGGGACGAUUCCUCCAAAAUUUGCAAAGGGAUGCCGAUUGACUAAUUUCAACUUAAAUGGAAAUCUGUUAGAAGGGCCAUUGACUCCAUCCAUCCUUAAUUGUAGGGGUCUGGAAGUGCUAGAUCUUGGUAACAACAAGAUCAAUGAUACAUUUCCUCAUUGGUUGGGAAGUCUUCCACAGCUACAAGUUCUUGUAUUGAAGUCAAAUCAUAUGCAUGGUUCCUUAUGUGUCAAUAGCUCUAAGUCUAGCCCUUUUUUCUCUAAAAUCCAAAUUUUUGACCUCUCAAGUAACUAUUUUUCUGGACCCCUACCAGUGAGAUACAUCAACAGCUUCAAGGCUAUCAUAAAUGUAGAGAAGAUUGGUAGUACAGUGUCGUACAUGGGGGUGAAUGAUGAUGGAGGUGACUUCUAUACCUAUUCCAUUGGAAUUGUCAUGAAAGGGAGAGAUAUGGAAUUGGUGAAAAUUUUCACCAUGUGGAUGAUCAUUGAUCUAUCAAACAAUCAGUUUGAAGGGGGUAUUCCAGAGGUUUUUGGGAAGCUUAACUUACUGAAAGGGCUCAACCUUUCUCAUAAUAACCUUAAUGGUGGUAUCCCCACCUUAAUAGGGAAUUUGACAAGUCUUGAAUGGUUGGACCUAUCUUCAAACAGGUUGUCUGGGACGAUUCCAAAUAGAUUGGCAGAUCUGCCAUUUCUUUCGUCCUUCAAUGUUUCUGAAAAUCAACUCCAUGGUCAGAUUCCUCAAGGCAAACAGUUCAACACAUUUGGAAAUGAUUCAUAUGAAGGAAACAAGGCAUUAUGUGGAUUUCCGGUCUCAAAAGGUUGCAACAUCAUUGAGCCAGCACCUCCAAAUGUGCUUGAAAAAGAUGGCUCAAAAUCAAACAUUACUUUUGGUUGGAAAGUGGUGUUGAUAGGUUAUGGAUGCGGAGUGGUGUUCGGAAUGUCCGUGGGAUAUGUUGUUUUCCAAACUGGUAAGCCGAAAUGGUUGGUGAAUUUGGUUGAAAUCCAACAUGAGAAGAAGCGAAGAAGAAAGUCAAAGGAUGGCAGUCGCAGCAAUGGACGAAGAAGAAUCUAGUUAGUGGAAAUGAUGUUCAAGUGUUGAUGUUGUAUCUUCAUAAUUUCUUGUUUUGAAGUCUGUCAAAUUUUUUUCCUAUCGUGAAAGGCUGCAUUGCCAUGCAUCUGUCUUUUUUAUUGUAACCAUUCAUCUAUAUUUCAUUGCAUUACGUAGUAUUUGUAAGGGUUUGUUUUAAAUGUAACAUUUUGUAUGGUUCAACUAUUUAUGUCUCUUUCAUGAGUUUCAUUUUUGAGUCUCAAUAAUCUCUGCAUUCAAGAUUUUGUCAGCUUAUUAAUUGGUGGAUCAAUAAUCUUCAUGCUCAUCUCAUCAUCUUUUUCUCGAGUUAAACACAGUCACUACUAUAAUAAUUUCUUCUGUGUGGAAAAUAAUUUGGCAUUCUGCAAAUUUCCACAAUGCUUGUGGAUUACCUCUGGUUGACGGCUAUACAUAUAAAGGAAGGAAACAAGACUAUGUCAAAAUUUCCAAAAAUCAGUCAUUCAUUUUUGAACAAUUAAACAUUCCUAUUCUAUUUUUCAAAAUUGUAAAUCCUCAAAUAAUGUAAAUUAGUCCUAAAACUCAAGUUUUGAAAUCUUUACAAUUUAACCCCUUAUAGUUUCAAACUUUACUAUUUUAUGCUCAACUUUCUAAAUCUUCAUAUUUCAUGAUCAUAUAAUUUAGUUAUUACAUCAAUAUUUCAGAUUUCACUACUCAAACCCUUACUUCAUUUUGGUCCUUACUUCAAUUUUUUCAAAUUAAAUCAAUUUUCAAUUUGACUGCAUUGAUGUGAAAUUGAGGGAGCACUAAACAAUGUUGAUGCGAGUUUAGGUAAAAUUGGUGGAUCCCAUCUCCUUAGUAAUUUCUUUAUGGAAGUAGCUGCUUUCACACUGCAAACUUGAAUAGUUUGUGGUGGACGAUGAUGAAUCAUUUGACAAUCAAACACAUAAUUUUUAAACACAAAAUUAACGAUAUUUUGAAAUCAUUAUUGAAAUUAUAAUCAAAAUUAAUACAUGUUCUUUUUAUUAGCUUAAGGUCGUAAAAACCCUUCAAAAUUUUCAAAAAAAAAAAAAAUUUAAGUCCCUCUUUUUUUUUUUCUAAUUUUUAAUAAAAGUAGGGGCUUAAUUGCUUUUUUUUUUUUAAGUUUGAGGGUCUUUUUGAUGCAUUUUGAAAGUUCAAGUACCCAAUUGAGUGCAAGAAGAAAGUAGGGGCUUAAUUGCUUUUUUUUAUGUAUUUUGAACGUUCAUGUACCCAAAUGAGUGCAUAAAAAAAACAGGGGUUUAGUUGCUAUUUUUGAAAAGGGUUUGAGGGCUUUUUGCACCCUUAAACCUCUUUUCUUUUUCUAAAUUUAAUUUAGAACCAACUUUGAGUAAAGACUUGGGAAAUUUAAUUAGCAAAAUUUCUUUCCAUGUAAAUAUUUCCCCUAUUUCUUGUUGGAAUUUAAAGCAAUACAAUAUUUUUGUAGCUAGUAACAGAAAACGACAGUCAAUUAAUUCCAAGCAAUACAAAAUAUCCAGUCUGGUGGAAAAUUUGUUUGUUAGAUUCUAUUAUUCAACUUUUAAGGCAUAAGUCUGAAUAUAGGGACUAAAUUUUUAAAGUGUUGUUUAUUUUAAAAUCUAUUAAUAUAUACACACUUAGGGACCAUAUAUAUAUAUAUCAUAUAUAUAUAUAUAUAUUCCAUUCUGGAUCUUUGUCGUGUUUUGUUGGUUGGCUCUGGCCUUGUUGUUGUUUCCACUGCCUGUGGUCUCUGUUUCUAAGUCAUAUGUGGCCUUGUUUGCUAGACCUUAGUUGCUCUUCACAUGUCUUGUAUUUUGUCAAGUUAAUUGAAAUGGAAAAUAAAAGUGUUGGCAUUACAGAUUAGAGUAAAAGGAAUUAGUGUUGAAGUUGGGGUUGUUCAAUUGUUGGAAUUCAUGUGUGUAUUUUUUUGAGUAUCUGGGUCUUUGUCGUGUUUUCUUGGUUGGCUAUGGCGGCCUUCUUGUUGUUCCCACUGUCUGUGGUAUUUGUUUCUAAGUCAUAUGUGGCCUUGUAUGCUAGACCUUAGUUGCUAAGUUAAAGGGAGUGAAUAGAGCACCAUAUUUCUUCUUCUGCGUGGAAAAUAAGUUGGCAUUAUGCCAAUUUCCACAUUCAUACAUAUAAAGGAAGCAAGAGCAAGUCAAUAUACUUUGUAAUCUCAUCAAUUCUUCUUCUUUCUUUAGGGAGUUCAAAUGAAAUACAAAUUUUUGGUAAAUCAACUCUUCAUUUUUAUGAAUAAAAAUUAUAUGGUAGAAAGGAAGUGGUGUUAAUAAUAAUAAUAAUAAUAAAAAGAUUAACAAUAGAACACUAAUAAAGCAAUUUAGUCUAUGAUCUGCACAAUAUAUUACUACAAAUGUACCGUACAGAAUAUUGAAAGAAAACUAAUAAAGAAGUUCGAAAUUUAAACAAUGUUCCGCAAAUUAUGUUUAUGAUCUGCUGUAAAUUGAUAUGUUAAAUCAACUCUUCAUUUUUAUGAAUAAAAAUUAUAUGGUAAAAAGGAAGUGGUGUUAAUAAUAAUAAUAAAGAUCAACAAUAGAAAACUAAUAAAGCAAUUUAGUCUAUGAUCUGCAUAAUAUAUUACUACAAAUGUACCGUACAGAAUAUUGAAAGAAAACUAAUAAAGAAAUCCGAAAUUUUAACAAGGUUCCGCAAAUUAUGUUUAUGAUAUGAUGUAAAUUGAUAUGUCAAAUUUUGUGGCAAGUAAUAGAAAAUGACAAAUUCCACAUUCAUACAUAUAAAGGAAGCAAGAUCAAGUCAAUAUACUUUGUAAUCUCAUCACUUCUUCUUCUUUCUUUAGGGAGUUCAAAUGAAAUACAAAAUUUUGGUAAAUCAACUCUUCAUUUUUAUGAAUAAAAAUUAUAUGGUAAAAGGAAGUCUUGUUAAUAAUAAUAAUAAGAUUAACAAUAGAAAACUAAUAAAACAAUUUAUCCAAAUAUCAAAAUAAAUAUUAACUUUUUCAGAAACCAAAAUUAUUUUCUAAAAAUUAUUUUUUAAAAACUAUUUUUAGUGAAACAAACUGAGUCUUAGCCCAUAUUGUAAAUUAUUUUGUGGGUCUGGAAUUCUUGUACAUUAUGCUGCAAAAGAGUGAAAUUUCCUUACAGCUAGUCGAUCAAGUUUGGUUGAAAUUGAAUGCAUUGAUGUGAAAUUGAGGGAGCCUAAACAAUGUUGAUGCGAGUUUAGGUAAAAUUAGUGGAUCCCAUCUCCUUAGUAAUUUCUUUAAGGAAGUAUCUGCUUUCACACUGUGUUGACAACUUCCCACAGAUCAAAGGCCUGCAGGUAAGUCUUCAUAUUUACCAGCCAUAUGUGAAAACCUUCUCCAUUGAAGACUGGUGGGACUGCUGGUGAAAAUCCUGAAGAAGCCAUCAGGUUUCUUGAUUUGAAGCAACAGGUCCACUAAGAAAAGGGCUCUAGAUACCAAUUGUUGGUGUAAAAGGGCAGAAGCAAACUGAUUUAAGCUUGCUUAUACAGCAAGCCUCGAGCCUUGUAGAAGAAACAAUCUCAGCAGAAAGCAAAAAUGAAGCUUGCAGUUGGAAAAACAAGAAAACAAGGAGAGAAUUUGAAUGAAAAACAAGCUGAGUUGUUCAUUAACAUUACAACAAGGCAUAUUGCCAUUACAUAUAUCAGUUAACUUGUCAAAUAAACAAGUAAUCACCUAAUCAAUUACCUAACACCACUAAUAUGCAUUGAAACUUACAAAAUUAGCUUGCAAACAUUACAUUGCUGAUAUUUCAGUCAAUCAACAUCAAAAUUACACCAAAACAUUCACCUGCUUAGUUCAAUGUGAACUAGAUUACAAAAUGAUUAAAAUACAACUAAAACAACAAGUGGUUCAGUAACUUGAAGCUUCAGCUGCUGCACACCAUGGCUCGAUUGCCUGCUGCCAUUUCUUCUUGCAUGGCCACCUUUGCAUGGGAACUAAACUCAACAUACACGAACUAAUGCAAAUAUGCUAGUGGUUUAUUUUCCACCUAUCUGAUUUUUUAAAAUGUUCUUCAGUUACACCAGUUGAUGCAAUCUAUUAUUACCUGCCUCGUUGCAAAAAGGUUAGGAAAUAAAUUCACCGACAAUCAUUGGGAACUAAGAAACUUCGCAGCAAAGCUAGUGGCAUCAAUAUGCAAAAGGUGAAGAUUCUUUUCUUUUGGACUUAUACAUGCAUAUUCGUUUUUAUGAAUUUCAGGUGUCUGAGUUUUUAGUUAUAAACUUGGAUCUAUUCUUCAAAUCAUGUGUAUAUCAUUUUUAUGCUAUUUCACACUUGCAAAACAAAUGGUGCGAGCGUGCAUGUUAUAUGCAGAAUACAUAGAUUAAUUACAUGUGGAUCAUUAAGCAUGCCUAUGUUUGACGAUUGUGUGUGGCUACCUUUUUUUACAUGAUCCAAUUUUCGAUAUGCUUUGCUUUUAGGUUGAAUGCGGAAAAGAUUAGAACUUAAUUUCCAGCAUAAUGAUUUGUCUUGGAUAUGCAGAUUUUACAUGCAUUUCUUACAAGUCAAUAUUUUAUAGAUUUGGGCAUGUUUAUCACAAUCUUCAGCCACGUGUGACAAGGACACUGCUCCACGCUUUUUUGGACCCAACGAAAACAUUUCCCCAGUAUUACGGAGCAAUUCAAGGGUUAGCAGCCCUUGGACCCAGUGUGGUAUAAUUCUAAUCUCAAAUAUUUACUAGCAACACAAUAAGAUACUUGUUUGUGGGAUCAAUUGGUCAAAGAUAUUGCAAUGAUAGCCAUCUUUUUAAGCCCAUUUCUUUCAGAAAACUGUUUUGUCACUCUUUUCUGCAAGAUCCGAAGAAAGAAAGAACAUGGAAAUCUUUAGUCCAAAAGUGUAAAUAUGCGGUUUCUCUAUAGCUAUCUUGAUUAUGGCAUCUGUAAAGUUUGUCUUUCAUAUGUUUGGCUAACGCUUCUUCAUCCAUAUGUAGGUUCGUUUACUUAUACUACCAAACCUUGAAGCGUAUUUGCAGCUUCAUGAACCUGAAAUAAAAAGACACGAGGCCUGGUGUUUUUAUGGGGCCCUGCUGGUAAGUUUAACAUCAAAUUUGGUACCAGUUUACGAGCAUCAUUUCAUUUAUUUGCUAUAGAACUAACAACACUGCAUAAAAUUUCCACUAAAAGCGUGCAGCUGGACUGUGCAUGUAUGAUCGGCUUAAAAUGUUCCCCAGUUUGCUAGCACCCCCAACUCGGCCCGUCUGGAAAAGCAACAACAAAGUUGCGACAAGUAUGAUUUCUUCGAACCAUCAUAUUUACACUUAAUCCACAGGUCUCUUCUCCCCCUUUACGAUUUUCCUUUUUCUGAUCAAUCAAGAUAAACGAAAAGCAAGCACGGACGCCUUGAUGCAGCAGCAACCACCUGCGAAGAAAAUAGCAACUGAGAGUGCAAUAGGUAUGAUGCCAAUAAAUUCCAUGCAAACUGAUUUACAAGGGGCAGUUAGCAGCUUUUCUACCACCGUAGGAGGUUCCAAUAUCGGUGUAUCAUCAAUGUCACGGCCGUUAUCAAACGAUAACAUGCUAGGAAGGGAGGUUGGGGGUCGAGUUUCAAGGACAUCAACCGUUCUAGCUCAGGCUUGGAAGGAAGACACAGACCCAGGGAACUUGUUAGCAUCAUUAUUUGAACUUUUUGGUGAAAGUAUGUAAUUAAAAUAAUAUAUUGGCUUAACCCUCCUAAAUUAUGUAUUUUUUUCCAUCUUGGGACCUAAAUUUUUUUGGGGUCAUAAGUGGUACCUAAACUACAUUUUUUCUCCUUCAAAUUAGUAUCUUCAUUAAUUAAACCGUUAAGUCUAUUUAAAAAAGAAAGACUCGAACAACAAAUUAAUACCUAAACAGUGCUCUUUUUCUCAAGGUACCUAAUUUUUAUUUUGGCCAUAAGUACUACUAAAACUAUUCUUCCGUUACUCAUUUUACACCAAAAUGUUAUAUCGGCUGAAAAGAUUCCAACAAAUAAUAGAUUGUAUGUUAUAUAAACUUUUAAAAAUAAUUAUUAUUUAAUUAAUUUUUUAUAUUUUUCUUUCUUAUUCCUUUCUAAUGUUUGGCAAUGCUGAUAAUGUUUGAAAUUGUCCCACUUGAGGUCAAAAUACUGGUGAUUAAUUUUGGUUUUGAAUUUCACCACCUACUUCUUUGACCUAAGGGGAUAGAAAAUGUUCUUUUAUCGAUCAAAACUAGUAUUUUCAAAAACAGAUUGAUUCAACUGGUUGGAUAGGAAAUCGGUCUGGAAAUAAGGGUUGAAUCGAUUGACUUGCGACCAAAAACAAAUCAGUUGAACUAAGUUAAAAAAACUGGUUGAACUAGUUCUCUCCAUUUAUAUAUAUAUAAAUAAUAAUAGUCUUUUUUUGUACUAUAUGUCAAUUUUUAAUUGGUUAAUUUUUUUUUUCAUAUAAACUGAACGGUUUGACUAAUGACGGAGGUACCAAAUUAUAGUCUAGGUACCAAUUCAUGGGUUAAGCCUAUUUCUACAAUAGACUUUUGACUAAUGGCGGUAGUAACUUGGGAAAAAAAAAGUAGUUUAUGUACCACUUGUGACAAAAAAUAAGUUUAGGUACUAUCAUGGGAAAAUGAGUAUAAUUUAGAUACUAAUUUAUGAGUUAAGCCUAAUAUAUUUGCCACAUCAUUUUUUGAAAAUAACAGAACUUAAUAAAUUUAACGGUUAUUAUUUGAUGAUGACUAAAAUUUUUAAAUUUGAAAAGUACAUGAACUAAAAAUGACCAAAUUAAAGUAUAAAGAUUAAGUCCACAACUUUUGCAAAGUACAAGGACUAAUAGCAGAAAUUAACCUAAAUUUCAUAUGGGUCAAUUACAAUAAUAAUCACUAAACUAUUCCUUUGGUUCUAUUCUAGUCACUCAACUAUAGAGCUGCUCAUGAGCCGGGCCAGGUUAGGCCUAAGCAUGAUAUUAACGUACUUUAUGCUUGCUCAAGCUUGGCUCGGCCCGAAAUAUGAGCUUAAAAUUUCGCCUAAACUCAUCAAUAUUUGCAAAAGACUAACCCAAGCUCAUUUUAGGCAUGCCCAUAUAAUUUUUAGUUUUUUUUUUUUAAAUAUUUAUAUUAUAUUAUUUUAAGAAUUAAUAAUUUGAACUAUAGUAUUAUUAUAUAUUUAGUAUAAGUUUAUUUUUUAAUCUGUUCUAAAUUAUAUAAUAUAAAAUAUUAUACACUUAAAAACGGGCCGGGCUGGGCUCGAGCUUUAAAUGUUCAAGUCUUAACCCGGCCCAUAUUUUAAACGGGCUUAAUUUUUUUACCAAAACCCAAUUUUCGGGCCUAAUUUUUUUACUCAGACCCUCCCAAAUUUUGGGCUGCCCUUGGGCUUUGGCAAGUAGCCCAACUCAUGAACAAGUUUACUCAACUAUUAAUUUUUUCGAUUUAGUUGUUAACCUUUUCGAAAGUAAAUAUUUUAGUCAUUCUCCUAUUAGUUGUUGUUAAACGAGUGACGGAAAGCUGAUGUGGGCUUUUUUUAUUAGUCUAAUAACAAAUUUAGCCCUCCAAUGUUUACACAUUCUAUCAAUUUGAUCCUAGAUAUAAAAAAAUCAACAAAUUUAGCCCUGAAUGUUAACAAAACUUGUCAUUUUAGUUCAAAUUCUAAAAAAUUUAAUAAAUUUAACCCUUAAUAUUUUCAAAAAUUAGCAAUUUAGUUCUAAUUCUAAAAAUUUUAAUAUAUAUAUUUAAAAAAAUAUUUUUAAUCAUCUGUCUCACCCUUUGAUUUUUUAGAUGAGCUAAAAUCAAAAUGAGAUAAAAAAAAAUAAAAAGUUAAAAUGACUUUUCGUUUGUAAAGUUAAAAAAUGCUAAAUAAAUCAUUAUGUCUUUUUAGUUUUAAUUUUUUACUUGAUUAAAAGAGAAAUAAUUAACAAAUGAAAAAUAAUUAUUUCUAUAUAAAUUUAUCAAAAUUUAUAACAAAUGAUAUUUUAGAUUUGAAUUAUCAGACUAUAUAUAUAUAAGUAUACACAUUUUUAUGAAAUAAAAGAUUUUGCUAAAAGAAAAAGCAUCCAAUUUUAAGAAUGAAAAAUAUAUGGUAAAAGCAUCCAUAACUUUUCAAUGUUAAAGACAAAAAAGACUGUAACACCAAUGUUGUGGUAUUAUUUGUUGCCUAUAAAUACCAUUCCUAUCCUUCUUCUUCCUCUACCAACAUAACAUGGCCUCCUAUCUCUUUCUCUCCCUAUUCCUCUUCUUUCUCCAUCUUUAUGCUUCUUUUUCUUCUUCAGGAUCUCACUCCUGCUCUUCACUAAUCCAGUUUAAGGACUCCUUUUCCAUAAGAGAGGAUGCUUCUUUUGAUCAUUGCGAUUAUUUUGCUGGCCUUAAAUCUUAUCCCAAGACAAAUUCAUGGAAGGAGGGUACAGAUUGCUGCUCAUGGGAUGGGGUCACUUGUGACCACCUAAAUGCUCAUGUUAUUGCCCUUGACUUGAGCUGCAGUUGGCUAUAUGGCACCUUCCCUUCCAAUACCACUCUCUUCCUUCUUCCUCACCUUCAAAAACUCAACCUUGCCUACAAUGAUUUUAAUUCUUCCAAAAUUCCAUCCGAGUUCGGUCGGUUUACAAGCCUAUUCUACCUCAACCUUUCCAAUACAUGGUUUUCAGAAGUCCCAUCCCAAGUCUCCCACCUGUCAAAAUUGGUUUCACUUGAUCUUUCUGGGUUUGAUGAACUAUUAACAAUUGACAAAUAUGCUCUGGAGGGUCUUGUUCACAACCUAACCGAGGUCAGACGUCUGUUUUUGGAUGAAAUGGACAUGUCUUCAGUUAAUGCUCAUGUCUUCAUGAAUCUAUCCUCUUCUCUAAGGUCUCUCAGUCUUGUUGGUUGUGAUUUGCAAGGAAAAUUCCCAAAAAACAUUUUUGAUUUGCCAAACCUCAAUCUCCUCAACUUGGGAGGCAACCAAAACCUCAAUCUUGAUCCUUUGAAGUUCAAUCGGAGCAGCAAUCUUGAACAAUUGAUAAUUUCAGACGCAAAUAUUUGUGGAGGAUUGCCUGACUCGAUGGGGAAUCUUGUGUCCUUGAAGUUUUUAGUUCUCUCCCAUUCCAACUUAUCAGGACUGGUUCCAAGAUCACUGGGGAAUCUCUUGAAACUCACUCAUUUAGACUUGUCGGAGAACCAAUUGAGUGGACAAAUUCCAAGAAAAUUGGGGAACCUCUUGCAACUCACUCAUUUAGACUUGUCGAAGAACCAAUUGAGUGGACAAAUUCCAAGAUCAUUAGGGAACCUCUUGCAACUCACUCAUUUAGACUUGUGGCUGAACCAAUUGAGUGGACAGAUUCCAAGAUCAUUGGGGAACCUCUUGCAACUCACUGUUUUAGACUUGGGAUGGAACAAAUUGAGUGGACAAAUUCCAUUGUCAAUUCUAAACCUAACGCAGCUGGAAUACUUGACAAUAUCUAACAAUUCUUUAGAAGGUUCCAUUCCAGAUGAGGUAACCGCUUUUCAUAAUCUAAUAUAUUUAGACUUAUCUGACAAUUUACUCAAUGGAACACUGCCGUCAUGGUUGUAUACUGCUCCCUCCUUAAAGACAAUAUAUCUCUCUCAAAAUCAAUUCAGUGGGCAUAUCAAAGAAUUCCAAUCCAAAUCACUAGAAUGGAUAUGGUUAGAGAAUAAUAAACUCCAAGGUCCUCUUCCAUCUUCAAUAUUCCAACUUCUCAAUCUUACCCAACUUAGCUUAUCCUCAAAUUAUCUUAGUGGUGUCAUAGAGUUUCGCAUGUUCUCAAACCUUCCAAAUCUCGAAUAUCUUGACCUUUCAUAUAACAGCCUAUCCUUAACAUCUAAUACAACUUCUACUGUUAAUCUUACAAGCUUAUUUUUGUCAUCUUGCAAUCUUAGUGAAUUCCCCCAAUUUUUAAAAGGGCUUAAAAGUUUGGAAAGCUUAGACCUCUCUUGCAACAAAAUUGAAGGCAAGAUUCCACAGUGGAUGCGAGAGGUGGGGAAUGGCUCUUUGACUCACUUAAAUGUAUCUCACAACACUUUGACAGAAGUUGAGCACUUUCCAUGGAAGAAUAUUGAUGUUCUUGACUUAAGCUCCAAUUUGAUCAGUGGAAAUCUUCCGAUUCCAGCUUCGACCAUAAGAGUCUUUUUGAUCUCAAAUAAUAGUUUCAAUGGAGAGGUCUCUUCUUUAAUAUGCAAUGCCGCUUUUCUUGAAAUUCUUGAUUUGUCCCACAAUAACUUGAGUGGAACAAUUCCACAAUGUUUUGGAAAUUUGAGCAACAGCCUUCUAUUCUUGAAUCUGAAGAAGAACAAGUUUUAUGGGACGAUUCCUCCAGCAUUUGCAAAGGGAUGCCGAUUGAGUAAUUUCAACUUAAAUGGAAAUCUGUUAGAAGGGCCUUUGACACCAUCCAUGAUCCAUCCUUAAUUGUAAUGGUCUGGAAGUGCUAGAUCUUGGUAACAACAAGAUCAAUGAUACAUUUCCUCAUUGGUUGGGAAGUCUUCCACAGCUACAAGUUCUUGUAUUGAAGUCAAAUCAACUGCAUGGUUCCUUAUGUGUCAAUAGCUCCAAGUCUAUCCCUUUUUUCUCUAAAAUCCAAAUUUUUGAUCUCUCAAGUAAUUAUUUUUCUGGACCCCUACCAGUGAGAUACAUCAACAGCUUCAAGGCUAUCAUAAAUCUAGAGAAGAUUGGGAGUACAAUGUCGUACAUGGGGGUGUAUGCUCAGAGAGGUAGUGCCUUCUAUACCCAUUCCAUUGGAAUUGUUAUGAAAGGACAAGAUAGGGAAUUGGUGAAAAUUUUCACCAUGUGGAUGAUCAUUGAUCUAUCAAACAAUCAGUUUCAAGGGGGUAUUCCAAAGGUUAUUGUGAAGCUUAACUUGCUGAAAGGGCUCAACCUUUCUCAUAAUAACCUUAAUGGUGGUAUCCCCACCUCAAUAGGGAAUUUGACAAGUCUUGAAUGGUUAGACCUAUCUUCAAACAGUUUGUCUGGGACGAUUCCAAAUAGAUUGGCAGAUCUGCCAUUUCUUUCGUCCUUCAAUGUUUCUGAAAAUCAACUCCAUUGUCAGAUUCCUCAAGGCAAACAGUUCAACACAUUUGGAAAUGAUUCAUAUGAAGGAAACAAGGGAUUAUGUGGAUUUCCGGUCUCAAAAGGUUGCAACAUCAUUGAGCCAGCACCUCUAAAUGUGCUUGAAAAAGAUGGCUCAAAAUCAAACAUUACUUUUGGUUGGAAAGUGGUGUUGAUAGGUUAUGGAUGCGGAGUGGUGUUCGGAAUGUCCGUGGGAUAUGUUGUUUUCCAAACUGGUAAGCCGAAAUGGUUGGUGAAUUUGGUUGAAAUCCAACAUGAGAAGAAGCGAAGAAGAAAGUCAAAGGAUGGCAGUCGCAGCAAUGGAUGAAGAAGGAUCUAGUUAGUGGAAAUGAUGUUCAAGUGUUGAUGUUGUAUCUUCAUAAUUUCUUGUUUUGAAGUCUUUCAAUUUUUUUCCUAUGGUGAAAGGUUGCAUUGCCAUGCAUCUGUCUUUACUUUUGUAACAAUUCAUCUGUCAUAAUAUUAUAGAUUUUAUUGAUUUUAAUUUUUUCUCUAAUUUUUAAUAAAAAUAGGGGCAUAAUUGCUUUUUUUUUUUAAGUUUGAGAGUAUUUUUUAUGCAUUUUGAAAGUUCAAGUACCAAAUUGAGUGCAAAAAAAAAAAGAGUAGGGGCUUAAUUACUUUUUUUGAAAAUGUUUGAGAGCUUUUUUGAUGUAUCAAAUGAAAUACAAAUUUUGAGUAAAUCAACUAUUCAUUUUUAUGAAUAAAAAUUAUAUGGUAAAAAGGAAGUAGUGUUAAUAAUAAUAAAAAAGAUCAACAAUAGAAAACUAAUAAAGCAAUUUAGCCUAUGAUCUGCGCAAUAUAUUACUACAAAUGUACUGUACAAAAUAUUGAAGAAAACUAAUAAAGAAAUCUGAAAUUUUAACAAGUUCCGCAAAUAAUGUUUAUGAUUUGCUGUAAAUUGAUAUGUCAAAUUAGGCUCUCCAUCACACUUAAAAGUUUAUUUUCGAGCAAUUUAGAUAUCUUUGUUGCGUUUUUAUUUUGUUUUAGUUGUUUAUAUUAAUAAAUGAUUAGUGUGCAUUUUGAUGCUAUUUUAAGACCUGAGAUGGCCAAAUGGCACCCGGGGAAUCUAAUGAGGUUGGUGAGUGAUGCAGAGAGCCCAUGGUGGCCCGGAAGGAACGAAAAUGUUACCUAGAAAGAGGGUAUCGCAUUUCAAAGCAUGAAAGUCGUAAUACCCAUAACAAUGUUAAAAACAAGGAAGAUUGAGCCAUCAACAAUGUUAUCGUGAUACCGGUCAUAAGAUAUCGCGAUACCCAAAACUUCCAAGGAUCCCCCAAGACUGUUGUGGAUAUCGCGAUACCAAACUUUGGGUAUCGCAAUAUCAUUGAUGAGAGGAGACAAAAUAUAACUGUAGGGGUAAUCCUUUUCCAACAUGUGGAAUGGCCAUGGGAUGUGUUGUUUUCCAAACCGGUAAGGCGAAAAGGUUCGUGAAUUUGGCUGAAGACCAACAUGAGAAGAGGCGAAGAAGAAAGCCAAAAUAUAGCAAUCGCAUCAAUGGAUGAAGAAGGAUCUAGUUGGUUCAAAUGAAGUUAAAGCAUUUGUGCUGUGUCUUCAUAAUUUCUUGUUUAGUAGUCUGUCAGAAAGUUUUUCCUAUGGUGAAAAGUUGCAUUGCUAUGUGUCUGUUUUUAUGAUUGUACCAAUUCCUCUGUAUUUCAUUGCAUUUCGUACUAUUUGUAAGGGUUUAGUUCAGUGUAACAUCUUGUAUGGUGCAACUAUGUAUGUCUUCUUUCUUGAAUUUCAACUUUUAGUAAACAUUAUACUGCUCACCAUAAAAAAAAUACAUGUAGAAUUACAAAAGAUUCAAUUAUUCAAGUUUGAGUUGCAUUUAUAAACAUGUGAUGAUGAGAAUUCAUGAACAAAAGGUAUGGUUUGAGCCCUUUUGCAAUAUGCGUUUAUGUUGCAUUUACCUAUAUAUCUAUCGACAAAUUUAAGAGUAAUAUUUACAAUAGCAUUGCAGAGUAACAUAUUUACGAUUGGAUUACACAGUCAAAAGAUUGCAGCAACGAUGAGAUUAAUCCAAUUACAGGAAUUGAUAUCCUAAAUGGCUUUUAGGUACGUAGCUUCAUUGACGGUACAAACUAGUUAAAAUUUCCAGAAUUCAUGUCUUUGUUUUCCCUCAAGUAAACGUAGUCAAUACUGCAAAUGGUGUGGAAGUAUUGUACAUUGUGGCCCAAAUGUCCAAAAUUUCCACAUUGCUUGUAAAUUAAGUGAUGAAAACCAAAACUGUUUGAGGCAUCCAAUUACCCACAGAGAUAGGAAGUAAGGACGCAUGUAUAAUUAUUAUCAUUAAUUAAAGCAUAUAUAAUUACAUUAAAUAUAGGAUAAACUAUAAAAAUAAUCACUUUUAUUUACCUCAUAUUACAUUUUAGUCACUUAUGUUUGAAAUGUUACAUUUUGGUCACUUACGUUAUCGUUUUGGUACGAAGUGGUCACUCUACCGUUAAGCUCCGUUACCUCCCUAACGGCGAUUCUACGUGAUAGUCCAAAUGAGUUUUAAAUGCCAACUUAAAUGUCUUGCGUGGCUGUCUAAAUUAAAUUUAUUUAAUUAAAAACUUAUUUUCAUCUCAACAACCGGACAUUCAAGUUCGCAUUUAAAACCCAUUUAGACUGCCACGUAGGACUGCCGAUAGGGAGGUAACAGAGUUUGAUAGUAGAGUAACCACUUCAUAACAAAACGAUAAUGUAAGUGGCUAAAACAUAACAUUUCAAACAUAAGUAAUUAAAAUAUAAUAUAAGGUAAACAAGCCUUAAAUAUAUAAAUUACUAUGAUUACUAUCAAGAUAGCAUUGACCUGUUCAACAGGCGGAACCAAUAGAUCUGACCAUUUGGUGACUCUAGCAGUCGAUAAGUGUGAGUGGCAGACUGUGCAACUUGUAACUAUGUUAAUUGAUGAAAAGCUUUUUGAUAGAAGAUAAUAAACUAGUGGCAAUGGCAAACGGUUCCAAGACGAGGUGGGACACCGAGGCUUUGUGUAACAGGGGAAUAGAUGCACUCAAUGCUGGCGGCUGUUGACUUGUAUUUCUCUCUAACAAUUUAAAUCACCAGCUUGCUUCAUCCAUCUAUAAAUAAGGGUCUUCUUCAGUUUCAUAAAUGCAUAGAAAAUUAACAAGCUCAAAUUCCUUCUUUUCAUAUUCAUCUCUUUUACUUUGAAUUGCAACUUUAUCCUGCCUAAAUUCCUCAACCAUGAACCACCCAUCAGGACAGCCUCAAAAUGAACUUCCUUGGUCCGCCGGAUUCUGCGAUUGUUGCUCUGACCUGAAAACUUGUAACCCUUUCUUCUUUCUUCAAUAUCAGUUCUGUCUUUUUAAUUAUAUGAAUUAGUUUAUCAAUUAAAUAUAUGGACAUUUCAGGUUGCAUUUCAUACUGGUGCCCAUCCAUCACCUUUGGCCAGAUUGCUGAGAUUGUUGAUAAAGGGUCGACUUGUAAGUUAUUAAUUUCUAAAUUGAAAUCUUAUCAUCUUAGGUUUUGCAGACAUAUAUAUAUUUAAAGAGAUAUUAUGUAAUUAAUAAUAAUGUUGAAAAACACUGUUGGAUGGUGCAGCAUGUCGGGCAAGUAGGGCACUAUACACAUUAAUAAUGUUCAUCACCGGGUGUGGGUGCUUAUAUUCUGGCUGCUACCGAUGCAAACUGAGAAAGCAGUAUAACUUGAAAGGAGGCGAUUGUGGCGAUUGCAUGCGUCAUUUCUGCUGCGAGCCUUGUGCCUUGACACAAGAGUAUCGUGAGCUCCAGAACCGUGGAUUCGACAUGUCUAUCGGUAUGUCUACAUACCAAUAUUAUACCCCUUUUAAUUAUUCUUAAUAUAACUUCAAGUAUAUUAAUUGAGUAGCUGUAAACAAAUAUCUCCGAAUAAAUAUGUUGGUAAUGAUGAGAUAAAUUAUUGUUUGAGGUCAUUAAUUUUGUGGGGGUAUAUUUAUAUAUGCAGGUUGGCAUGCAAAUGUGGAGAAGAACCCAGGGCUGGCAAUGGCUCCAGCGGUAGAAAAAGGCAUGAGCAAAUAGAUGAUGAUGAUGAUGAGACCACUGCAUUAAUAUCAUCUUUACAUGUAACACUUAAUUCCUUGGCUUUCCAUAAUUGGUUGAUUGUACGGCUUGCCAAUUGAAUUUCAAGUUAUGUAUGUUUGUGAUUGUCAAAUAUAUUAAUAAAAAGUGUUACUAUUCAUGUUAGAUCUUCAUGAAUAAGAAUGAGAAUCGAAAAUAACUUGUAAUAUUGUGUGUGCAUGUUUGGUAUUUAGGUGAAAUACUUAGAAAGAGAGGUUGGAUUAAAUUAAUUUUUUAUUAUCAAAAUGGAUGAUUUUAAUUUUUAUAUUAAUAAAAAGAAUUAAAUAAAAUUAAUAUUUAUUGUUUUAGAAAAUGACAUCAAAUUAUUGUUUUUUAUAGUUCAAUCCAAAUAAAAUAUCUACAAAAUCAUUAAAAACUUUUAAAAUGUGACUUUGUUAAAUAGUAAAUAGCAUUUUUUUAAAAGGGUUCAUAUAUAUCGUGAUACCUAAAGUUGGCAACUUCUACUUAGUAUCUAAAUCGGUACAUAAACUUGAAAAUUGUAAGUCAACUUCGUAUUUUUAUAAGUAUGAUGAUGUUGGUGUAGUGUGAGGAAGAAGACUUGAAUGGGUUUGAUUAUUUUUAAUAAUACAGGAAUUUACAUAUUAUAAGUAAAUAGACACUCACAUUCUUUAUGUAUUAUAAGGAAGAAGACUAAGUCGAUCUACUUUGUAAUCUCAUCAAUCUUAAUUUUCUCAAUUGUUAAGGGAGUUCAAAUGAAAUACAAAAUUUUGGUAAAAAAAAGUAUCCAAUUUUGUGAAUAAAAAAUAUAUGGUAAAAAAGAUUUGGUAUCGAUACUUCGGCGCGGGUAUCAAUACUCGAUACAUUGCUUUUGGUUGGAAAGUAGUGUCUGGAACGGCCAUGGGAUGUGUUGUUUUCCAAACCGGUAAGGCGAAAAGGUUUGUGAAUUUGGUUGAAGACCAACAUGAGAAGAGGCGAAGAAGAAAACCAAAAUAUAGCAAUCGCAUCAAUGGAUGAAGAAGGAUCUAGUUGGUGCAAAUGAAGUUAAAGCAUUUGUGCUGUGUCUUCAUAAUUUCUUGUUUAGUAGUCUGUCAGAAAGUUUUUCCUAUGGUGAAAAGUUGCAUUGGUAUGUGUCUGUCUUUAUGAUUGUACCAAUUCCUCUGUAUUUCAUUGCAUUUCGUACUAUUUGUAAGGGUUUAGUUCGAGUGUAACAUCUUGUAUGGUGCAACUAUGUAUGUCUUCUUUCUUGAUUAUUGAAAUUAUAAUCAAAAUUAAUACAUGUUCUUUUUAUUAGCUUAAGGGCGUAAAAACACUUCAAAAUUUUCAAAAAAUAAAAUAAAAUUUUAAGUCCCUCUUUUUUUUACACUCAAUUGAAAUUUUUAAAAUGUAUCAAAAAUAUCUUUACAGUUCUUCAAAAAAAAAAACAAUUAAACCCCUAUUUUUUUUCCGCUCAAUUGGGUACUUGAACUUUCAUAAUGCAUCAAAAAUGCCUUAAAUUUUUUUCAAAAAAGCAAUUAAGCCCCUACUCUUAUUAAAAAUUAGAAAAAAAUCAUAAAAAUAAUAAAUUUUAGAAAAAAUUAUUAAAUUUUAAUAAAAAUUUAAAAUUUUAUUAAAAAUUAGAAUUUUUUUUUAGAAAAAUCGUCAAAAAAUAAAAAAUUAUAAAAUCCAUCAAAAAGUUUUAACAAUUAACUUUAACUAUUGAUCGUUAAAGUUAACGACCUCUAGUUUUUUCAAUUAAAGUCAUUAUGUGUCGCAACUCAACGUGACAUGUAGCGAAAAUAGAUAAAAAAGUAAAAAUCAAUAAAAGUUAUAGAAAAAUUAUAAAAUAUUUCUUUUGGUAGAAUAAUUUUUAUAAAUUUUUUUUACAAAAUUUAUAUUUCUUUACAUUUUGUAUAAUUUUCUUAUAACUUUAUAAAAUUUUAUAAAUUUUUAUAUUUCUAUAUAUUUUAAAAUUUUUUAAAAUUUUUAUAAAAUUUUACAAUUUUUAUAUAUUUUUAAUAAAUUUUUAAUAUUUGAUUUUUUAUUAAAAUUUAAUAAUAUUAUAGAUUUUAUUGAUUUUAAUUUUUUAUCUAAUUUUUAAUAAAAUUAGGGGGUUAAUUGCUUUUUUUUUAAGUUUGAGGGUCUUUUUGAUGCAUUUUGAAAGUUCAAGUACCCAAUUGACUGCAAAACAAAAAGAAAAAAAGUAGGGGCUUAAUUGCUUUUUUUGAAAAUGUUUGAGGGCUUUUUUGAUGUAUUUUGAAAGUUCAAGUACCCAAAUGAGUGCAUAAAAAGAACAGGGGUUUAGUUGCUAUUUUGAAAAAGUUUGAGGGCUUUUUGCACCUUUAAACCUCUUUUCUUUUUCUAAAUUUAAUUUAGAACCAACUUUGUGUAAAGACUUGGGAAAUUUAAUUAGCAAAAUUUCUUUCCAUGUAAAAAUUUCCCCUAUUUCUUGUUUGAAUUUAAAGCAAUACAAUAUUUUUCUAGCAAAUAAUAGAAAAUGACAGUCAAUUAAUUCCAGCAAUACAACAUUUCCAGUCUGGUGGAAAACAGCUAGGGACCAAAUUUUUAAAGUGUUGUUUACUACACACUUAGGGACCAUAUAUGUAUAUAUAUAUAUUCCAGUCUGGGUCUUUGUCGUGUUUUGUUGGUUGGCUAUGGCCUUCUUGUUGUUUCAUGGCCACUGCCCGUGAAUUAAGUCAUAUGUGGCCUUGUUUGCUAGACCUUAGUUGCUAAGUUAAAGGGAGUGAAUAGAGCACCAUAUUUCUUCUUCUGCGUGGAAAAUAAGUUGGCAUUAUGCCAAAUUCCACAUUCAUACAUAGAAAGGAAGCAAGGCCAAGUCAUUAUACUUUGUAAUCUCAUCAAUUCUAAUUAUUUCACUUCUUCAUUCUUUAGGGAGUUCAAGUGAAAUACAAAUUUUUCCACAUCCAAUCUCAUAAAUAAUCCGUCUUUGAACUUUCACAAAAAAAUAUUAAAUACCCAUUCACUUUAAUUCUACUAUUCUUAAAUCAUUCAAGUUUUGUGGAAAAUAUGCUUCUUGGAUAAAAUUAUUCAACACACAUGCCUUGAAUUUUAUGCAAUAAAAUAAAUCAAUAUAGGCCACACAUGCUUUGAAUAUUUAAGUAGUCCACAAUUUUGUUCGUUUGUGUGCAAAAUUCUACAUUGCUUGACAGCCAUACAUUCUAAGUAAAUAGACACCCACAUUGUUUACGUAUUAUGAAGAAGAAGACUAAGUCAGUCUACUUUGUAAUCUCAUCAAUCUUAAUUUUCUCAGUUAUUUAGGGAGUUCAAAUGAAAUACAAAAUUUUGGGAAAAAAAAUGUAUCCAAUUUUGUGAAUGAAAAAUAUAUGGUAAAAAGGAUUUGGUAUGGAUACUUCGGCUCGGGUAUCAAUACUCAGGGUAAGUUUAUCGAUACAUUGCUUUUGGUUGGAAAGUGGUGUUGAUAGGUGAUGACUAAAAUUUGAUAAAUUUGAAAAGUACAUGAAAUUUAACGAUUAUUGUUUGGUGAUGACUAAAAUUUUAAAAUUUGAAAAGUACAUGAACUAAAAAUGACCAAAUUAAAGUAUAAAGAUUAAGUCCACAACUUUUGCAAAGUACAAGGACUAAUAGCAGAAAUUAACCUAAAUUUCAUAUGGGUCAAUUACAAAAAUAAUCACUAAACUAUUCCUUUGGUUCUAUUCUAGUCACUCAACUAUAGAGGUGCUCAUGGGCUGAGCCAGGUCAAGCCUAAGUAUGAUAUUAAUGUAUUUUAUACUUGCUCAAGCUUGGCUCGGCCUGAAAUAUGAGCUUAAAAUUUUGCCUGAACUCAUCCAUAUUUGCAAAAGACUAACCCAAGCUCAUUUUAAGCAUGCCUAUAUAAUUUUUAAUUUUUUUUAAAUAUUUAUAUUAUAUUAUAUUAAUUAAUAAUUUAAACAUUUUUUAUUUAUUAAAAUUUUUUAUAGUCAUUUUAACAUUAUUUUAAUGUUUACAUUAUAGUAUUAUUAUAUAUUUAGUAUAAGUAUUUUUUUAAUAUGUUCUAAUUUAUAUAAUAUAAAGUAUUAUACACUUAAAAACGGGCCGGGCUGGGCUUGAGCUUUAGUUGUUACUCAACUAUUAAUUUUUUCGAUUUAGUUGUUAACCUUUUCAAAAGUAAAUAUUUUAGUCAGUCUCCUAUUAGUUGUUGUUAAAUGAGUGACGGAAAGCUAAUGUGAGCUUUUUUUAUUAGUCUAAUAACAAAUUUAGCCCUCCAAUGUUUACACAUUCUAUCAAUUUGAUCGUAAAUAUAAAAAAAAAAUCAACAAAUUUAGCCCUGAAUAUUAACAAAACUUGUCAUUUUAGUUCAAAUUCUAAAAAAUUUAAUAAAUUUAACCUUUAAUAUUUUCAAAAAAAUAGCAAUUUAGUUCUAAUUCUAAAAAUUUUAAUAUAUAUAUUUAAAAAAAUAUUUCUAAUCCUCUGUCUCACCCUUUGAUUUUUUAGAUGAGCUAAAAUCAAAAUAUAUCAUUAUGUCUUUUUGUUUUAAUGCUAAAAGAGAUAAAAAAAAAUGGAAAGCUAAAAUGGCUUUUCGUUUGUGAAGUUACAAAAUGCCAAAUAAAUUAUUAUGUCUUUUUAGUUUUAAUUUUUUACUUGAUUAAAAGAGAAAUAAUUAACGAAUGAAAAAUAAUUAUUCACAAAUAAAUUUAUCAGAAUUUAUAACAAAUGAGAUUUUAAAUUUGAAUUUAUAAAUCAAAAUUUAUAUAUAUAUAUAUAUAAAAGAAAACACAUUUUUAUGAAAUAUAAGAUUUUGUUAAAAGAAAGAGCAUAUAAAAGCAUACACGUUUUUAUGAAAUACAAGAUUUUGCUAAAAGAAAAAGCAUCCAAUUUUAAGAAUGAAAAAUAUAUGGUAAAAGCAUCCAUAACUUUUCAAUAUAAAAGAAAAAAAAGACUAACACCAAUGUUGUGGUAUUAUUUGUUGCCUAUAAAUACCAUUCCUAUCCUUCUUCUUCCUCUACAAACAUAACAUGGCCCCCUAUCUCUUUCUCUGCCUAUUCCUCUUCUUUCCCCAUCUUUAUGCUUCUUUUCUUCUUCAGAAUCUCACUCCUGCUCUUCACUAAUCCAGUUUAAGGACUCUUUUUCCAUCACAAAGGAUGCUUCCUGGUAUUUCGAUUAUAUUACUGGCCUUAAAUCUUAUCCCAAGACAAAUUCAUGGAAGGAGGGUACAGAUUGCUGCUCAUGGGAUGGGGUCACUUGUGACCACCUAAAUGCUCAUGUUAUUGCCCUUGACUUGAGCUGCAGUUGGCUAUAUGGCACCUUCCCUUCCAAUACCACUCUCUUCCUUCUUCCUCACCUUCAAAAACUCAACCUUGCCUACAAUCAUUUUAAUUCUUCCAAAAUUCCAUCCGAGUUCGGUCGGUUUACAAGCCUAUUCUACCUCAACCUUUCCAAUACAUGGUUUUCAGAAGUCCCAUCCCAAGUCUCCCACCUGUCAAAAUUGGUUUCACUUGAUCUCUCCUCUCGGAUUGAUUACUCUGGGCAAGUUACAAUUGACAAACAUGCUCUGGAGGGACUUGUUCACAACCUAACCGAGGUCAGACAUCUGUUUUUGGAUGGAAUCAACAUGACUUCUGUUAAUGCUCAUGUCUUCAUGAAUCUAUCCUCUUCUCUAAGGUCUCUCAGUCUUGCUUUUUGUGAUUUGCAAGGAAAAUUCCCAAAAAACAUUUUUGAUUUGCAAAACCUCAAUCUCCUCAACUUGAGAUACAACCAAUUGAGUGGACAAAUUCCAAGAUCAUUGGGGAACCUCUUGCAACUCACUCAUUUACACUUGUCGGGGAACCAAUUGAGUGGACAAAUUCCAUUGUCAAUUCUAAACCUAACGCAGUUGGAAUACUUGGAAAUAUCUGAAAAUUCUUUAGAAGGUUCCAUUCCAGAUGAGGUAACCGCUUUUCCUAAUCUAAUAUAUUUAUACUUAUCUGACAAUUUACUCAAUGGAACACUUCCGUCAUGGUUGUAUACUGCUCCCUGCUUAAAGGAAAUAUAUCUCUCUCAAAAUCAAUUCAGUGGGCAUAUCAAAGAAUUCCAAACCAAAUCACUAGAAUAUUUAUAUCUAGAAAAUAAUAAACUCCAAGGUCCCCUUCCAUCUUCAAUAUUCCAACUUCUCAAUCUUACCGGGCUCCUUUUAUCCUCAAAUAAUCUUAGUGGUGUCAUAGAGUUGAGCAUGUUCUCAAACCUUCCAAAUCUCAAAUAUCUUGACCUUUCAUAUAACAGCCUAUCCUUAAUAUCUAAUACUACUUCUACUGUUAAUCAUAUAUUGCCUAAUCUUACAGGCUUACAUUUGUCAUCUUGCAAUCUUAGUGAAUUCCCCCAGUUUUUAAAAGGGCUUAAAAGUUUGGAAAGCUUAGACCUCUCUUGCAACAAAAUUGAAGGCAAGAUUCCACAGUGGAUGCAAGAGGUGGGGAAUGUCUCUUUGACUUACUUCAACGUAUCUCACAACUCUUUGACAGAAGUUGAGCACUUUCCAUGGAAGAAUAUUGAAAGUCUUGACUUAAGCUCCAAUUUGAUCAGUGGAAAUCUUCCGAUUCCAGCUUCGACCAUCAAUGUCUUUCUGAUCUCAAAUAAUAGUUUCAAUGGAGAGGUCUCUUCUUUAAUCUGCAAUGCCAGUGAUCUUGAAAUUCUUGAUUUGUCCCACAAUAACUUGAGUGGAACAAUUCCGCAAUGUUUUGGAAAUUUGAGCAACAGCCUUGAAUUCUUGAAUCUGAAGAAGAACAAGUUCUAUGGGACGAUUCCUCCAAAAUUUGCAAAGGGAUGCCGAUUGACUAAUUUCAACUUAAAUGGAAAUCUGUUAGAAGGGCCAUUGACUCCAUCCAUCCUUAAUUGUAGGGGUCUGGAAGUGCUAGAUCUUGGUAACAACAAGAUCAAUGAUACAUUUCCUCAUUGGUUGGGAAGUCUUCCACAGCUACAAGUUCUUGUAUUGAAGUCAAAUCAUAUGCAUGGUUCCUUAUGUGUCAAUAGCUCCAAGUCUAGCCCUUUUUUCUCUAAAAUCCAAAUUUUUGAUCUCUCAAGUAAUUAUUUUUCUGGACCCCUACCAGUGAGAUACAUCAACAGCUUCAAGGCUAUCAUAAAUCUAGAGAAGAUUGGUAGUACAGUGUCGUACAUGGGGGUGAAUGAUGGCUUCUAUACCUAUUCCAUUGGAAUUGUUAUAAAAGGACAAUAUAUGGAAUUGGUGAAAAUUUUCACCAUGUGGAUGAUCAUUGAUCUAUCAAACAAUCAGUUUGAAGGGGGUAUUCCAGAGGUUUUUGGGAAGCUUAACUUACUGAAAGGGCUCAACCUUUCUCAUAAUAACCUUAAUGGUGGUAUCCCCACCUUAAUAGGGAAUUUGACAAGUCUUGAAUGGUUGGACCUAUCUUCAAACAGGUUGUCUGGGACGAUUCCAAAUAGAUUGGCAGAUCUGCCAUUUCUUUCGUCCUUCAAUGUUUCUGAAAAUCAACUCCAUGGUCAGAUUCCUCAAGGCAAACAGUUCAACACAUUUGGAAAUGAUUCAUAUGAAGGAAACAAGGCAUUAUGUGGAUUUCCGGUCUCAAAAGGUUGCAACAUCAUUGAGCCAGCACCUCCAAAUGUGCUUGAAAAAGAUGGCUCAAAAUCAAACAUUACUUUUGGUUGGAAAGUGGUGUUGAUAGGUUAUGGAUGCGGAGUGGUGUUCGGAAUGUCCGUGGGAUAUGUUGUUUUCCAAACUGGUAAGCCGAAAUGGUUGGUGAAUUUGGUUGAAAUCCAACAUGAGAAGAAGCGAAGAAGAAAGUCAAAGGAUGGCAGUCGCAGCAAUGGACGAAGAAGAAUCUAGUUAGUGGAAAUGAUGUUCAAGUGUUGAUGUUGUAUCUUCAUAAUUUCUUGUUUUGAAGUCUGUCAAAUUUUUUUCCUAUCGUGAAAGGCUGCAUUGCCAUGCAUCUGUCUUUUUUAUUGUAACCAUUCAUCUAUAUUUCAUUGCAUUACGUAGUAUUUGUAAGGGUUUGUUUUAAAUGUAACAUUUUGUAUGGUUCAACUAUUUAUGUCUCUUUCAUGAGUUUCAUUUUUGAGUCUCAAUAAUCUCUGCAUUCAAGAUUUUGUCAGCUUAUUAAUUGGUGGAUCAAUAAUCUUCAUGCUCAUCUCAUCAUCUUUUUCUCGAGUUAAACACAGUCACUACUAUAAUAAUUUCUUCUGUGUGGAAAAUAAUUUGGCAUUCUGCAAAUUUCCACAAUGCUUGUGGAUUACCUCUGGUUGACGGCUAUACAUAUAAAGGAAGGAAACAAGACUAUGUCAAAAUUUCCAAAAAUCAGUCAUUCAUUUUUGAACAAUUAAACAUUCGUAUUCUAUUUUUCAAAAUUGUAAAUCCUCAAAUAAUGUAAAUUAGUCCUAAAACUCAAGUUUUGAAAUCUUUACAAUUUAACCCCUUAUAGUUUCAAACUUUACUAUUUUAUGCUCAACUUUCUAAAUCUUCAUAUUUCAUGAUCAUAUAAUUUAGUUAUUACAUCAAUAUUUCAGAUUUCACUACUCAAACCCUUACUUCAUUUUGGUCCUUACUUCAAUUUUAUCAAAUUAAAUCAUUUUUCAAUUUGAAUGCAUUGAUGUGAAAUUAAGGGACCACUAAACAAUGUUGAUGCGAGUUUAGGCAAAAUUGGUGGAUCCCAUCUCCACAGCAAUUUCUUUAUGGAAGUACUUGCUUUCACACUGCAAACUUGGAUAGUUUGUGGUGGACGAUGAUGAAUCAUUUCACAAUCAAACACACCAUUUUUAAACACAUAUAUUGAAAUCAUUAUUAAAAUUAUAAUCAAAAUUAAUACAAGUUCUUUUUAUUAGCUUAAGGGCGUAAAAACUCUUCAAAAUUUUCCAAAUAAAAAAUAAAAAAUUUAAGUCCCUCUUUUUUUUUUACACUCAAUUGAGUACUUAAACUUUUAAAAUGUAUCAAAAAUAUCUUAACACUUCUUCAAAAAAAGCAAUUAAACCCCCUUUUUUUUCCGCUCAAUUGGGUACUUGAAUUUUCAUAAUGCAUCAAAAAUACCUUAAUUUUUUUUUCAAAGAAACAAUUAAGCCUCUAUUUUUUUCCUACUCAACUAGGUACUUGAACUGUCAAAAAAACAAUUAAGCACCUACUCUUAUUAAAAAUUAGAAAAAAAAUCAUAAAAAUAAGAAAAAUUUAGAAAAAAUUAUUAAAUUUUAAUAAAAAUUUAAAAACUUAUUAAAAAUUAGAAAAAAUUUUAGAAAAAUUGUCAAAAAAUAAAAAAUUAUAAAAUUUUAUAAUUAAGCACUCUUAAAAUUUUGAAAAUUCUCAUUAAUCUCACACAAAUUUAAAAUUUUUUAUUAGACCCCCAAUUUUUUUUAAAAAUGUUAUUAAACCCUUAAAUUUUUAGAAAAUUUUACCUGCCCCCUCCCAAAAAAAAAACUAGUCCCAACUCUUAGGAUCCGCCAUUGGUACUUGGUAUUAACACUAUUAGAAAAUUGCUAAAUCAACCAAUGAAAAUUUGACACAUGGAACCCUUUUUUUAAAUUAUCAAGUUACGGAUGUUCUUCAAGGGCAUGGAACUCAACUUGAAAAUUUUACUAAUUUGGUUGCAAAAAACAUUGAGGAAGCAUAUAAUGAUCUAACCCUUUUUUGUUUUGUUCUGUUUUUAAUUUGUUAUGGGAUUCUAUUGAAUGAUAAUUUUUUUUAUUUCCCAUACUUGGUUCUUCAACAACAACAUAUUCGAGAUUUUAUUUUUCUAGAAUUUUUAUAUAAAAGUUUGUAUUUUUUAAAAUAAUUUUGAGUUUUUUAUAAUUUUUAUAUAGAAUCGAGGUAAAUUGGCAAAAAAUUAUAAAAAACAAAAUACUAAAAUUGUUUAGUUAAGUGACCAAAGCGAAGAUCUACCCAUAGUUCAGUGGCUAAUUAUGUAGUUUACCCUUUCAUAAUUAAAAAAAUAGUUGUUCAGUUUUUCUUGUAUUAGAUAACAUUUUAGAUGGUAAAAACCCUCUUUAGUCCCUCUCAAUUUUGAUAUUAAGUAAAUUGGUCCAUUUUUUUUUAAAAAAAUCAAAGCAAUUUAAUCUUUGUUAAUUUCGAAAGUGAGCAACUAAGGACAAUUAAUCACAAUGUCAAUAUUUUCCAUCAAUUGUACAUAUUUUUAUUGGUAUAAUAACAAAUUUAGCUCUCCAAGUUUACACAUUCUAUCAAUUUGUUUUGAUUUAACAAAUUUAGCCCGCAACAGUUACAUAUUCUAUUAACAUUUACACAUAAUAUAUAAACAUCGAGAGCUUAAUUUGUUAUUAUAUAAAUAAAAUUAUGUACAAUUUACAGAAAGCAUUAACACAAUAAUUAAUUGUCCUUAGUUGCUCCAUUUCAAAAUUGAUAAUGAUUAAAUUGCUCUAAUUUUCUGAGAGAAACCAAUUUCUUCAAUAUAGAAAUUGAGAGGGACGAGAAAUGUGUUUUUAUCCAUUUUAGAUACUAACAAGUGUUUGGCGUAGUGGCAAGGCAUAUUACAUUCUCAAGGAGAGAAUGCGUAUUCAAACGUUGGAGAUAAUAAUAUUGUGUGGGGUAUCCACGGAUCUCGAACACAGACUGUAAAACAUAUAUAAAAAAUAAAAAGAAUAACAUCUUAAUUUAAAUAAUUAAUAAAUUUUAAUUUCAAAAAAGUAUUUUGAGAAACAUAGGUUUUAGUAAAUAGUAAAAUUGAAUCGAUAAAACAUGUCCAGUAUAUCAGAAUCAUAAAAAUACAACUUAAUUAAUUUGAAUUUAAACUUAACUCGACUCAAUUUGAUUAUAAAAAACUGAUAAUUUGAAUCCAAAAUGACAUGAUCUUGAAAUGAUUUGAAUUAAUUGUCAAACCCAAACGACAAAACUCGAAAUGAUGCAAUCCAAAAACACAAGUCAAAUGAACUAAACUAUGAAAGAAAAAAAAAACCUUACACCGACUCAAAUCCAAAAUAAUUUAAUCCUAAAAUAACCCAAAUUUUAUAUAAUAUAAACUCGAAAUAACCCGAUAAUUUUUUUCAGUCUUACUGUGUUUAUCUUUAUAAGUAUUCUUGUUUUCCUUGCCCAUACAUGUAUUGUAGUUAUCAAAAAAUAUAUUCUACUUUGGAUUUUAUUUAUAUUAAAUUUUAGGUUAAAUUCCGCUAUUACUCUCUGUACUUUAUGAAAAUGAUGGAUUUAAUCAUUGUACGUUAAUUUAAUCAAUUUUAGUCUUUGUAUUUUUUGAAUUGGUCAAUUUUAAACCAUUUACUUUUUGAAUUUUGAAAUUUUAGUCUUGAUUCAAAUAAUAUUAAUAAUAAUAAAAUCUGCUUAUUUAAAUUUAAUUAUUAGUUUUGUACUAUGUAGACAAUUAUAGAUUUAAUCCAUAUUUUUCAAUUGGGUCAUUCCAAGUCUUUAUACUUUUCAAAUUUUAAAAUUUCAAUAUUGAUGCAGAAUGCGAGUUGCUAUUAAUUAAUUGAUUUUUUUAGCCAAUGCAUGUAGAAAUAAUAAGUUGUUAUGUCAUUAUACUUAAAAUAAUAUAUUGGUUUAACCCGCUUAAAUUAUGUCUUUUUUUCCAUCUUGGGACCUAAAUUUUUUUGGGGUCAUAAGUGGUACCUAAACUACUUUUUUUUCUCCUUCAAAUUAGGGCUCCUUUGGAUCACCAGCAAGUUUCAGUGUGGUGAGAUUUAAAGAGUAAAAAAAAUUUGAACUGAAACGCAGCUCUAUUUGGGGUGUUUGGCAAGCACACCAGUAAGCAUUUUUCACCUCACUGUAACCCAAAAUAUUGGCUGGAGUUAAAAGCUUCAGUGGACUGAUUUGGAAGUCCAAAAAUAAGAGUAAUUAUUAUUUUACCCCUCCAAUUCUUCCUUUAUUAUUUAUUUUAUUUAAAACAGAUAACAUAAGUUUAAUAUGUCAUUAUUUAAUAUUAUUUAAUUUACAAUAAAAUUAUAAUUUUUAUUUAUAAAUUUAGUAUAAAUACAAUUUAAUUUAUAUUUUAUUAUUUGAUUCAAAUAUAAUCUGUAAAAAUAUUUUGAUAUUUUAUUAUGAAUAUAAUUUAAAAAUAUUUUAUUGUAUAUUUAAAAUAUUUUGAUAUUUUAUUAUGAAUAUAAUCUGUAAAAUAUUUUGAUAUUUUUGAAUUUUUCUCUAGUUUUAAUUUAUUUUUAAUUAUUUAUUAUUAAAAAUAAAUAUAAUUGUAAUAAUUUUUAAUUAUUUAUUAAUUUUGUAAUUGUUAAAUAAUUUUAAAAACUUCUAUUAUAUAUAUUUUUAAUCUAAUGUCCUUAAAAGUCAUUUUCUAUUUUCACCUCACCGCUACAACUGCGUUUGAAUCCAAACACACACUCCACCGCUGUUUCUAAUCUCACCGCUACAGUAUCCAAUCUCACCGCUACAGUACCUAAUCUCACCGCCACCGCUGUUUUUAACCUUACCGGAACUAAACACACCGCCCAUCCAAACCCACCCUUAGUAUAUUCAUUAGUUAAACUGUUAAGUCUAUUUAAAAAAGAAAGACUCGGACAACAAAUUAAUACUUAAACAAUGCUCUUUUUCCCAAGGUACCUAAUUUUUAUUUUGGCCAUGAGUAUUACUAAAACUAUUAUUCCAUUACUCAUUUUACACCAAAAUGUUAUAUCGGCUGAAAAGAUUCCAACAAAUAAUAGAUUGUAUGUCAUAUAAACUUUUAAAAAUAAUUAUUAAUUAAUUUUUUUCAUAUAAACUGAACGGUUUGACUAAUGACGGAGGUACCAAAUUAUAGUCUAGGUACCAAUUUAUGGGUUAAGCCUAUUUCUAAAAUAGACUUUUGACUAAUGGCGGUAGUAACUUGGGAAAAAAAAGUAGUUUAUGUACCACUUGUGAACAAAAAUAAGUUUAGGUACCAACAUCGUAAAAUGAGUAUAAUUUAGAUACCGAUUUAUGAGUUAAGCCUAAUAUAUUUGUUGCAUCAUUUUUUUGAAAAUAACAGAACUUAAUAAAUUUAACGGUUAUUUUUUGGUGAUGACUAAAAUUUUAAAAUUUGAAAAGUACAUGAACUAAAAAUGACCAAAUUAAAGUAUAAAGAUUAAGUCCACAACUUUUACAAAGUACAAGGAGUAAUAGCAGAAAUUAACCUAAAUUUCAUAUGGGUCACUUACAAAAAUAAUCACUAAACUAUUCCUUUGGUUCUAUUCUAGUCACUCAACUAUAAAGGUGCUCAUGAGCCGGGCCAGGUCAGGCCUAAGCAUGAUAUUAACGUACCUUAUGCUUGCUCAAGCUUGGCUCGGCCCGAAAUAUGAGCUUAAAAUUUCGCCUAAACUCAUCCAUAUUUGCAAAAGACUAACCUAAGCUCAUUUUAGGCAUGCCCAUAUAAUUUUUAGUUUUUUUUUAAUAUUUAUAUUAUAUUAUAUUAAUAAUUAAUAAUUUAAACUUUUUUUAUUUAUUGAAACUUUUUAUAUAGUCAUUUUAACAUUAUUUUAAUGUUUACAUUAUAGUAUUAUUAUAUAUUUAGUAUAAGUUUAUUUUGUUAAUCUAUUCUAAACUAUAUAAUAUAAAGUAUCAUACACUUAAAAAUAGGCCGAGCUGGGCUUGAGCUUUGAAUGUUCAAGCCUGAACUCAGCCCAAAUUUUAAACGGGCCUAAUUUUUUUACCCAAACCCAAUUUUUGGGCCUAAUAUUUUUAUCCAGACCCUCCCAAAUUUUGGGCAGCCCUUGGGCCUUGGCAAGUAGCCCAACUCAUUAACAAGUUUACUCAACUAUUAAUUUUUUCGAUUUAGUUGUUAACCUUUUCGAAAGUAAAUAUUUUAGUCACUCUCCUGUUAGGUGUUGUUAAAUGAGUGAUGGAAAGCUAAUGUGGGCUUUUUUUAUUAGUCUAAAAACAAAUUUUGCCCUCUAAUGUUUACACUUCUAUCAAUUUGAUCCUAGAUAUAAAAAAAAAUCAAAAAAUUUAGCCCUGAAUAUUAUCAAAAAUUAGCGAUUUAGUUCUAAUUCUAAAAAUUUUAAUAUAUACAUAUAUUUAAAAAAAUAUUUUUAAUCCUCUGUCUCACCCUUUGAUUUUUUUAGAGAUAUUCAAAAAUUAAAAUAUAUCAUUAUGUCUUUUCGUUUUAAUGCUAAAAGAGAUAAAAAAAAUAGAAAGCUAAAAUGACUUUUCAUUUGUAAAGUUAAAAAAUACUAAAUAAAUCAUUAUAUCUUUUUAGUUUUAAUUUUUUACUUGAUUAAAAGAGAAAUAAUUAACGAAUGAAAAAUAAUUAUUCCCAAAUAAAUUUAUAAGAAAUGAGAUUUUGCUAAAAGAAAAAGCAUGUAAAAGUAUACACGUUCUUAUGAAAUACAAAGAUUUUGCUAAAAGAAAAAGUAUCCAAUUUUAAGAAUGAAAAAUAUAUGGUAAAAGGAAGACUAAGUGGUUGUUGAAAAAUACAAAAAUUUUGAAAAUCUAAUAUCCAUAACUUUUCAAUGUAAAAGAAAAAAAUGACUGUAACACCAAUGUUGUGGUAUUAUUUGUUGCCUAUAAGUACCAUUCCUAUCCUUCAUCUUCCUCUACCAACAUAACAUGGCCUCCUAUCUCUUUCUGUCCCUGUUCCUCUUCUUUCCCCAUCUUUAUGCUUCUUUUUCUUCUUCAGGAUCUCACUCCUGCUCUUCACUAAUCCAGUUCAAGAACUCUUUUUCCAUCACAGAGUAUGCUUCUUAUCAUUGCAAUGAGAUUGCUGGCCUUCAAUCUUAUCCCAAGACAAAUUCAUGGAAGGAGGGUACAGAUUGCUGCUCAUGGGAUGGGGUCACUUGUGACCACCUAAAUGCUCAUGUUAUUGCCCUUGACUUGAGCUGCAGUUGGCUAUAUGGCAACUUCCCUUCCAAUUCCACUCUCUUCCUUCUUCCUCACCUUCAAAAACUCAACCUUGCCUACAAUCAUUUUAAUCGUUCCAAAAUGCCAUCCGAGUUCGGUCGGUUUACAAGCCUACUCUACCUCGACCUUUCCAGUACAGGGUUUGCAGGAGAAGUCCCAUCCCAAGUCUCCCACUUGUCAAAAUUGGUUUCACUUAAUCUUUCUUGGAUUGGACAACAAUUAACAAUUGACAAACAUGCUCUGGAGGGACUUGUUCACAACCUAACCGAGGUCAGGUAUCUGUUUUUGGAUGGAAUCAACAUGGCUUCUGUUAAUGCUCAAGUCUUUAUGAAUCUAUCCUCUUCUCUAAGGUCUCUCAGUCUUUCUGGUUGUGAUUUGCAAGGAAAAUUCCCAAAAAACAUUUUUGAUUUGCCAAACCUCAAUCUCCUCAACUUUGGAGACAACCAAUUGAGUGGACAAAUUCCAAGAUUAUUGGGGAACCUCUUGCAACUCACUUCUUUAGACUUGUCGUUGAACCAAUUGAGUGGACAAAUUCCAUUGUCAAUUCUAAACCUAACGCAGCUGGAAUUUUUGGCAAUAUCUGAAAAUUUAUUAGAAGGUUCCAUUCCAGAUGAAGUAACCGCUUUUCCUAACCUAAAAUUUUUAUACUUAGAUAACAAUUUACUCAGUGGAACACUUCCGUCAUGGUUGUAUACUGCUCCCUCAUUAGACAGUAUAGGUCUCUCUCAAAAUCAAUUCAGUGGGCAUAUCAAAGAAUUCCAAUCCAAAUCACUAGAAUGGAUAGCGUUAGAGAAUAAUAAACUCCAAGGUCCUCUUCCAUCUUCAAUAUUCCAACUUCUCAAUCUUACCCGCCUCUUUUUAUCCUCAAAUAAUCUUAGUGGUGUCAUAGAGUUUCGCAUGUUCUCAAACCUUCCAAAUCUCGACCUUCUUGACCUUUCAUAUAACAGCCUAUCCUUAACAUCUAAUACUACUUCUACUGUUAAUCAUAUAUUGCCUAAUCUUACAAUGUUAUUUUUGUCAUCUUGCAAUCUUAGUGAAUUCCCCCAAUUUUUGAAAGGGCUUAAAAGGUUGGAAAUGUUAGACCUCUCUUGCAACAAACUUCAAGGCAAGAUUCCACAGUGGAUGCAAGAGGUGGGGAAUGUCUCUUUGACUUUCUUAAACGUAUCUCACAACUCUUUGACAGAAGUUGAGCACUUUCCGUGGAAUAAUAUUGCAGUUCUGGACUUAAGCUCCAAUUUGAUCCGUGGAAAUCUUCCGAUUCCAGCUUCGAAGAUCAAUGUCUUUCUGAUCUCAAAUAAUAGUUUCAAUGGAGAGGUCUCUUCUUUAAUCUGCAAUGCCAGUGAUCUUGAAAUUCUUGAUUUGUCCCACAAUAACUUGAGUGGAACAAUUCCGCAAUGUUUUGGAAAUUUGAGCAACAGCCUUGAAUUCUUGAAUCUGAAGAAGAACAAGUUCUAUGGGACGAUUCCUCCAACAUUUGCAGAGGGAUGCCAAUUGAGUAAUUUCAACUUAAAUGGAAAUCUGUUAGAAGGGCCUUUGACACCAUCCAUCCUUAAUUGUAAUGAUCUGGAAGUGCUAGAUCUUGGUAACAACAAGAUCAAUGAUACAUUUCCUCAUUGGUUGGGAAGUCUUCCACAGCUACAAGUUCUUGUAUUGAAGUCAAAUCAUAUGCAUGGUUCCUUGCGUGUCAAUAGCUCCAAGUCUAGCCCUUUUUUCUCUAAAAUCCAAAUUUUUGAUCUCUCAAGUAAUUAUUUUUCUGGACCCCUACCAGUGAGAUACAUCAACAGCUUCAAGGCUAUCAUAAAUCUAGAGAAGAUUGGUAGUACAGUGUCGUACAUGGGGGUGAAUGAUGGCUUCUAUACCUAUUCCAUUGGAAUUGUUAUAAAAGGACAAUAUAUGGAAUUGGUGAAAAUUUUCACCGUGUGGAUGAUCAUUGAUCUAUCAAACAAUCAGUUUGAAGGGGGUAUUCCAGAGGUUUUUGGGAAGCUUAACUUACUGAAAGGGCUCAACCUUUCUCAUAAUAACCUUAAUGGUGGUAUCCCUACCUCAAUAGGGAAUUUGACAAGUCUUGAAUGGUUGGACCUAUCUUCAAACAGGUUGUCUGGGACGAUUCCAAAUAGAUUGGCAGAUCUGCCAUUUCUUUCGUCCUUCAAUGUUUCUGAAAAUCAACUCCAUGGUCAGAUUCCUCAAGGCAAACAGUUCAACACAUUUGGAAAUGAUUCAUAUGAAGGAAACAAAGGAUUAUGUGGAUUUACGGUCUCGAAAGGUUGAAACAUCAUUGAGCCAGCACCUCCAAAUGUGCUUGAAAAAGAUGGCUCAAAAUCAAACAUUACUUUUGGUUGGAAAGUGGUGUUGAUAGGUUAUGGAUGCGGAGUGGUGUUCGGAAUGUCCGUGGGAUAUGUUGUUUUCCAAACUGGUAAGCCGAAAUGGUUGGUGAAUUUGGUUGAAAUCCAACAUGAGAAGAAGCGAAGAAGAAAGUCAAAGGAUGGCAGUCGCAGAAAUGGACGAAGAAGGAUCUAGUUAGUGGAAAUGAUGUUCAAGUGUUGAUGUUGUAUCUUCAUAAUUUCUUGUUUUGAAGUCUUUCAAUUUUUUUCCUAUGGUGAAAGGUUGCAUUGGCAUGCAUCUGUCUUUGUUAUUGUGACAAUUCAUCUAUAUUUCAUUGCAUUACGUGGUAUUUGUAAGGGUUUGUUUUAAAUGUAACAUUUUGUAUGGUUCAACUAUUUAUGUCUUCUUUCAUGACUUUUAUUUUUGAGUCUCAAUAAUCUCUGCAUUCAAGAUUUUGUCAGCUUAUUAAUUGGUGGAUCAAUAAUCUUCAUGCUCAUCUCAUCAUCUUUUUCUCGAGUUAAACACAGCCAAUACUAUAACAAUUUCUUCUGUGUGGAAAAUAAUUUGGCAUUCUGCAAAUUUCCACAAUGCUUGUGGAUUGCCUUUGGUUGACAGCUAUACAUAUAAAGGAAGGAAACAAGACCAUGUCAAAAUUUCCAAAAAUUAGUCAUUCAUUUUUUAAAAUUGUAAAUUCUCAAGUAAUGUAAAUUAGUCCUAAAACUCAAGUUUUGAAAUCUUUACAAUUUAACCCCUUACUAUUUUAUGCUCAACUUUCUAAAUCUUCAUAUUUCAUGAUCAUAUAAUUUAGUUACUACAUCAAUAUUUGAGAUUUCACUACUCAAACCCUUACUUCAUUUUGGUCCUUACUUCAAUUUUAUCAAAUUAAAUCAUUUUUCAAUUUGAAUGCAUUGAUGUGAAAUUGAGGGAGCACUAAACAAUGUUGAUGCGAGUUUAGGCAAAAUUGGUGGAUCCCAUCUCCUUAGUAAUUUCUUUAUGGAAGUAGCUGCUUUCACACUGCAAACUUGGAUAAUUUGUGGUGGACGAUGAUGAAUGAUUUGACAAUCAAACACAUAAUUUUUAAACACAAAAUUAACGAUAUAUUGAAAUCAUUAUUGAAAUUAUAAUCAAAAUUAAUACAUGUUUUUUUUAUUUGCUUAAGGUGUAAAAACCCUUCAAAAUUUUCAAAAAUAAAAAUAAAAAUUUAAGUCCCUCUUUUUUUUUUUAACACUCAAUUGAGCACUUAAACUUUUAAAAUGUGUCAAAAAUAUCUUUACACUUCUUCAAAAAAAGCGAUUAAACUCUUUUUUUUUUCGCUCAAUUGGGUGCUUGAACUUUCAUAAUGCAUCAAAAAGACCUUUUUUUUUCAAAGAAACAAUUAAGCCUCUAUUUUUUUCCCACUCAAUUGGGUACUUGAACUUUCAUAAUGCAUCAAAAAGCAAUUAAGGCCUUUUUCAUGCAUUAUGAAAGUUCAAGUACCGAAUUGAGUGCAAGAAAAAAAAAGUAGGGGCUUAAUUGCUUUUUUUGAAAAUGUUUGAGGGCCUUUUUGAUGUAUUUUGAAAGUUCAAGUACCCAAAUGAGUGCAUAAAAAGAACAGGGGUUCAAUUGCCAUUUUUGAAAAAGUUUGAGGGCUUUUUGCACCCUUAAACCUCUUUUCUUUUUCUAAAUUUAAUUUAGAACCAACUUUGAGUAAAGACUUGGGAAAUUUAAUUACCAAAAUUUCUUUCCAUGCAAAAAUUUCCCCUAUUUCUUGUUUGAAUUUAAAGCAAUACAAUAUUUUUCUAGCUAGUAAUAGAAAAUGACAGUCAAUUCAUUCCAAGCAAUGCAAAAUUUCCAGUCUGGUGGAAAAUUUGUUUCUUAGAUACUAUUAUUCAACUUUUAAGGCAUAAGUUUGAAUAUAGGGACUACAUUUUUAAAGUGUUGUUUACUACACACUUAGGGACCAUAUAUGUGUAUAUAUAUAUAUAUAUAUUCCAGUCUGGGUCUUUGUCGUGUUUUGUUGGUUGGCUAUGGCCUUGUUGCUGUUUCCACUGUCUGUGGUCUUUGUUUCUAAGUCAUAUGUGGCCUUGUUUGCUACAACUUAGUUGCUAAGUUAAAGGGAGUUAAUAGAGCACCAUUUUCUUCUUUUGCGUGGAAAAUAAGUUGGCGUUAUGCCAAUUUCCACAUUCAUACAUAUAAUGGAAGCAAGAGCAAGUCAAUAUACUUUGUAAUCUCAUCACUUCUUCUUCUUUCUUUGGGGAGUUCAAAUGAAAUACAAAUUUUGAGUAAAUCAACUAUUCAUUGACGGUACAAACGAGUUAAAAUUUCCAGCAUUCAUGUCUUUGUUUUCCCUCAAGUAAACGUAGUCAAUACUGCAAAUGGUGUGGAAGUAUUGUACAUUGUGGCCCAAAUGUCCAAAAUUUCCCCAUUGCUUGUAAAUGAAAUUUGGGUGAGAGAGAUGGGAGGAAGCAACAGCAAGUGUGAAGUCAAUAGACAAUUGACAGUCUUUAUUCUUUUGUGUGGAAAAUUAUUUGGGACCAAACUUGACUUGUUAUAAGGAAGAAGACUUUGUAAUCUCAUAAAUGUUAAUUAUUUUACUUCUUUGGUAAAAAAAAAAGUAAUCAAUUUUAUGAAUGAAAAAUAUAUGGUAAAGAGGAAGUAGUUGUUGAUCACUAAUAACAUGAUGAUUGUGGAAAUACAAAAAUUCCCGUAUAUGUGUUGAAUUCUGCAUAAUGUAAAUGUCCCGCAUUGCAUGUGAAUUCUGCAAUAAACUAAACUUUACGUGUUAUAGUUCUUUAAACCGAGUUAAUGAAAAGUAACCAUUCUUAUCAAAAUUAGUUAUACUCCUAAUUUAUAACAAAGGAAAUAAUAAUUUGAGUUUAACUCAAAGGUUAAUAUGUCAUCAAUGGGCGAUGGCGUGGUGCUACCAUGUCAGCGAUUAUUUUCUUCUUUGAGUUAAGGUGAUUUCACCAAUUUUAGGUUACUUUUUUACUUCAAUUUAGGUUUAUGCUUAUUAGCUUCGAAGAUUCUAAGUGGGUGCCACAAUCAAAGGGUGAGUAAAAAGGGUUAAAAAUGAUUUUUUUUAAAAAAUAUUUUUAUUUUUUUAUUAAAAAUUUAGAAUUAGAAUUAGACAAAUUUUGUAAAUGUUAAGGCUAACUUUAUUGAAUUUUUUUUUUCAGAAUUUGAACUAAAAUGACAAAUUUUGUAAAAAGCACUAAAUUUGUUGAAUUUUUUACAUUUAGGAUCAAAUUGAUAGAAUGUGUAAAUAUUAGAGGUUAAAUUUGUUAUUAGAUGAAUAAAAAAAACCCACAUCAACUUUCCAUCACUCAUCUAACGACAACUAAAGGGAGAGUGAUUAAAAUAUUUAAUUUCAAAAAGUUUAGCAACUAAAUUGGAAAAUUUAAUAGUUGGGUGACUAUUUUUAUAGUUUACAAUUUUUUUGGUCACCUGACUAUUAAGUGACACGUUUUAGUUGGUAUAAUAAUAAUUUUAGUCCUCAAUUUUUAUACUUUCUGUCAAUUUAACUCUAAUUAUAUAAAAUGAUUACAAAAGUGAAAUUCUUUUUAAAUUUUACAAAAUUCUAAAAAUUAAAUGAAAGUAGAUAAAAAUUUCAAAUAUAAAUAAAGUGAGAGAAAAUGAGGAAAAUAUUAUUUUUAAACCCUCCAAAUUUUAUUUGUAUUAUCUGUAAAGCAAUAUCUAAUAUCCAUUCUUUUAGAAAACAUAGAAAAAGGUAAAAAAAAGCUUAAGUAAAAUUAUCUGUAUAUAAUCUGCUUUUAUAAUUUGGGUUUUUAAAAAUAAAUUUAAAUGAAUUGAAAAUUUGAAUUGAGUUUGAAAAAGAAAAUUUUGUGGUAUAUUUUAUAUUUUUGCUAGAAAAAUAGCAUCAAAGUCGAUUUCGUAAGCUUUUGUAAUAUCAGUUACGGAUGUUCUUCAAGGGCAUAGAACUCAACUUGAAAAUUUUACUAAUUUGGUUACAAAAAAACAUUGAGGAAGCAUAUAAUGAUCUAACUUUUUUUUUCUGUUUUUAAUUUGUUAUGGGAUUCUAUUGAAUGAUAAUUUUUUUUAUUUCCCGUAUUUAGUUCUUCAACAACAACAUAUUCGAGAUUUUAUUUUUCUAGAAUUUUUACAUAAAAGUAAAGUUUGUAUUUUUUAAAAUAAUUUUGAGUUUUUUAUAAUUUUUAUAUAGAAUCGAGGUAAAUUGGCAAAAAAAUUAUAAAAACAAAAUACUAAAAUUGUUUAGUUAAGUGACCAAAACGAAAAUCUACCCAUAGUUCAGUGACUAAUUAUGUAGUUUACCCUUCAUAAUUAAAAAAAUAGCUGUUAAGUUUUUCUUGUAUUAGAUAACAUUUUAGAUGGUAAAAACCCUCUUUAGUCCCUCUCAAUUUUGAUAUUAAGUAAAUUGAUCCAUUUUAAAAAAAAAAUCAAAGCAAUUUAAUCUUUGUUAAUUUCGAAAGUGAACAACUAAAGAUAAUUAAUCACAAUGUCAAUAUUUUCCAUCAAUUGUACAUAUUUUUAUUGGUAUAAUAACAAAUUUAGCUCUCGAAGUUUACACAUUCUGUCAAUUUGGUCUUGAUUUAACAAAUUUAGCCCGCAACAAUUACAUAUUCUAUUAACAUUUACACAUAAUAUAUAAACAUCGAGAGCUUAAUUUGUUAUUAUAUCUGUAAUACCCAAAUUUUGCCCGGCCCAAGCCCAAGUAUCAAAACCCAAAUAAAAAAUAUACAUAAUAAAAGUCCAAUAACAUCAGUCCAGAUUACAAACCAAAUAAAUUAAGCCCAAACUCGAUUACAAAGUCCAAAUUCCCAAGCACAAACUGUUAACCCAACACUCCAGCCCCAAAUUAUUAGCCCAAAAUCAAACCCACUAAGCCUAAUCAGCCAACCCUAACCCGAACGGCCUACAUACCUAGCCCUAAAACAUUUUCAAAAAAACCUAAAGCAACUAUUUGCCUCAGCCGCCGCAACAGUAGCCUCCCACACGCGCGCCUCUCAUUAUCUUGAAGUAUCUUUUUGAAAUUGAUUAUUAAUUUAUGGGGUGCUUAAUUAUUGAUAUUAGUAUUUGUAUGAUAUGACUAAAAUAAUUAUUGUUAUUUGCAUUUACCUAUUAUUUGUUUGUCUUCUUAAUGUAUGUUUGGGUUGUUAUUUAUCCUUUUCGUUAUGUAUUGCUAUUCAAUCAUGUUUCAUUUGUAAGAAUUGUAUUUUUAAAGCACAACAGAUCAUUCUAUUUCAUAAUUUUCAAAAAGGCCUGAUGUUCAUAGCUCUCGAGAGAAUUGUGCCCUAACUUACUGGGCUUCAAUUCUUCUCGAUGAAUUUGAAUAGCCAAGUGUUUAUUGUAUUAAAACCACACAACUUUUAAAAUAAAGUUUUCAAGAUUUUAAAUUGUUGGAUCCUAACUUACUGGAUGUGGCAUUUUGUUAUCCCAAUUUUAAAAUAAAGGCAAUGUUUGACGUUUAAGAACUUCGAGAAAUCGAAACCUAACUUACUGGAUUCUGAUUUCUCAUUUGACUUAAAUGACCGAAUAGCCUUCUCAAAAUGCAUGAAUUUUAAAAUUUGAAAAUUAAAAAGACAUACUUAAUUUUGACGAUUGAAUCGUUGCACUCUAACUUACUGAGUGUGGCAAUUUAUUUCUUUGAAAUGAGUGUGUUUUAUUAUUCAAAUUUAAACUUUAAAAGGAUCGUAUUUUUCGACACUAAGACAUUAAACAAUCGAUUCGGUACCAAUUUUGGGCGUUACGAGGGUACUAACCCUUCCUCGUGCGUAACCGACUCCCGAACCUAUUUUCUCAAAAUUCGUAGACCUAAAAUUAUUUUCAAGGUGAUCCGGUCACACCUCAACAAAAGAUCGGUGGCGACUCCCAUUUUCAUUUUCAAAGUCGAUUCCCAUUUUUAAAACAUAAAAAAUGGUUUCGGCAAUAUCAAUAAAAAUUAUGUACAAUUUACAGAAAGCAUUAACACAAUGAUUAAUUGUCCUUAGUUGCUCCCUUUCAAAAUUAAUAAUGAUUAAAUUGCUCUAAUUUUCUGAGAGGAACCAAUUUGUUCAAUAUAGAAAUUGAGAGGGACGAGAAAUGUGUUUUUAUCCAUUUUAGAUACCAACAAGUGUUUGGCGUAGUGGCAAGGCAUAUUACAUUCUCAAGGAGAGAAUGCGUAUUCAAACGUUGGAGAUAACAAUGUUGUGUGGGGUAUCCACGGAUUUGAACACGGACUAUAAAACAUAUAUAAAGAAUAAAAAGAAUAACAUCUUAAUUUAAAUAAUUAAUAAAUUUUAAUUUGAAAAAAGUAUUUUGAGAAACAUAAGUUUUAGUAAGUAGUAAAAUUGAAUCGAUAAAACAUGUCCAUUAUAUCAGAAUCAUAAAAAUACAACUUAAUUAAUUUGAAUUUAAACUUAACUCAACUCGAUUUUGAUUAUAAAGAACUGAUAAUUUGAAUCCAAAAUGACAUGAUCUUGAAAUGAUUUGAAUUAAUUGUCAAACCUGAACGACAAGACUCGAAAUGAUGCAAUCCAAAAACACAAAUAAAAUGAACUAAACUAUGAAAGAAAAAAAAAACCUUACACCGACUCAAAUCCAAAAUAAUUUAAUCAUAAAAUAACCCAAAUUUUAUAUAAUAUAAACUCGAAAUAACCCAAAAAUUUUUAAAUUAAAAUUGACCCGACCCAAAUUCACACCACCUAAAAUCAAUCGUAACCACCUAAUUAAAAAGCAUGAAAUGAAAUGAUGUAAAGAGAAAAUUAGAGAAAACCAAAUAGAAAGUAACAAGCUUUUUUCAGAAUUGAAAGCAAAUUCCGUACAUUCACGACAUGCAUAAAACAACAAUGGUUUAUAGAAUUUGAGUUUUAGUCCCUGUACUUUAAAAGUUAAUUUUUCUUAAUUUAAAAAUUUUAGUUUAAUCAUUCAUGUUGGUUGUAGUUUCCAUUAGCUUAAUCAACAUGUUAAAUUAUUAAAUUUUGAUAUAAAAUAUUUACGAGUUUAAUAAUUAUACUGAGAUUUUUAAAUAAAAAAGUUGGAAGACUUAAUUUCUAACAUUUUAAAUAUAGGGACUAAAAGCAUCUUUUAACUUUGAUAUUAUUAUUAUAAGCAGGGAUAAUGUCAUCUUUGGCAUCUGUACUUUUAUAAAAUGUCUAGUGGUACAAGUACUUUGAAAAUAUAUAAUGUGGUACCUGAACUAUCAAUAUGUGUUAUUAUUAUGGUACAUGUACUUUGAAAAUGUUUAAUGUGGUACCUAAACUAUCAAUAUAUAUUUUAUUAUGAUACUUGAUAAAGAUGGACUAUUAUUGGUAGCUUAAGGGGCUCUUUGUCCCGCCAUCCCUGCAAAAAAAAAAUUGGAGAAUUUUGUUUUUUCCUUUAAAAUUUUUAGAAAAUUUCAAUUAAGCCCUCAAAAUUUUUGAAAAUUUUCAUUAUACCUUUUAAUUUUUUAAAAAAUUUUAAUUAAGCACUCUUAAAUUUUGAAAAUUCUCAUUAAUCUCACAAAAAUUUUAAUUUUUUUAAAAAAAAUAUUAUUAAACCAUUAAAUUUUUAGAAAAUUUUACCUGCCCCCUCCCCCAAAAAAAAACCUAGUCCCAACCCCUAGGAUCCGCCAUUGGUACUUGGUAUUAACACUGUUAGAAAAUUGCUAAAUAAACCAAUGAAAAUUUGACACAUAGAACCCUUUUUUUAAUUAUCAAGUCCACGUGGAUAAAAUAAUAGUGAAAAACUAAAUAAAACAAUAAUUAAAUGAAAUAAAAAAACAAAUAACUAAACAUAUGGUUAAUAAAAAAAAGCCGUACUUUCAAAGAUAAUAAAAAAUAUUAUUUAAAAAUCAAUUGAAAAUAUUAUUUUAAAAGGAAAACUCUUUGGAGAAGAUGAUCAUUUGCUUAAAUGGAGAAUAUAAUAUUUUUGGUUAUGCAAGUUUAGUAUUUACUUCUUUUUUAUUAAUCAUAUGUUUAGUUUUUUUAAUUAAUUUAAUUGUUUUAUUUAGUUUUUCACAUAAUGUUAUUUUACACAUGCGGACUUGAUGAAUUAGAAAAAAAUAUUACGUGUUAAAUUUUCAUUGGUUGGUCUAAUAAUUCAUUAACGGUGGAUUUGUUCUACAUUGAUGACAAAGAUGUGGAGUUUAAAGAAGUAAGAACUUAUCAACAAUAUUCGAGGUUCUGUUGUAUGUUGCCUUAUUAAAGAAGUCUUCACUUAAAAUCUUCUAUGUUGCCUUAUGUAUGUAGGUUCUUGAGUCACCUUUGCCAAAAGCACCACAUGAUACAUCUGUUACAUCCCACUGGCUUGCGAUUUAAGGCAUUCAACCAGUAAUUCCAGAAAAUGCUUCAAUUGAAGGUACCGUCUUAGCUAACCUAAAUAUUCUCUCGAAGCUAUUUGUGUUGAAGACUCUCAUGGUUCAUGUUCUUUUCUGGUUUUAUCACUUUAAUCUAAUACGAGUUAUCUUCAUUUCUACAUGGAAUUGGUAUUUUGCUUUCCAUGCAGCACCUUCUGAUGGUAAAAAGGCUGAAUACAAAGAAGAUGGGCUUUCCGUUGAUGUCAAAUUAUUUGUUAAACAUGUAUUAUCUAGAGAGCUUCAAGUAUGUUGUACAUCUUCAGCAACAUUUUUAUGUUAAAAUACAUUUUGCACAGAAUGAUAUUAAAAGACUAAUUUGGUUGUCAUGCAGCUUUACUUUGACAAGAUCGUGGACAUUACCAUGAAUAAAUCAGUAUCAAUUCUCUUUAAACAAGCAUUACUGAGUUUGGCAACAGACUCGGGAUUACAUCCUUUAGUUCCUUAUUUUACAUAUUUCAUUGCGGAUGAGGUUGUCUUAAAGAUCUUUCAUACCUCAUUAUAUAUGUGUGUUGCAAAGAACUUUUGGUUGGUUAUCUCAAGCUUACAUUUUUGCCACAUUUAUCUCAGGUUGCACGGAAUUUGAAUAAAUUCCCUCUCAUGUUUGCUUUGAUGCGUGUUGCCCGGAGUCUUCUCGAGAAUGAACACUUACACAUAGAACCUUACGUGAGUUUAUUAUUUCAAUCAUUUAGAAGUACACGAACUAAUGCAAAUAUGCUAGUGGUUUAUUUUCCACCUAUCUGAUUUUUUAAAAUGUUCUUCAGUUACACCAGUUGAUGCCAUCUAUUAUUACCUGCCUUGUUGCAAAAAGGUUAGGAAAUAAAUUCACCGACAAUCAUUGGGAACUUAGAAACUUUGCAGCAAAGCUAGUGGCAUCAAUAUGCAAAAGGUGAAGAUUUCUUUUCUUUUGGACUUAUACAUGCAUAUUCGUUUUUAUGAAUUUCAGGUGUCGAGUUUUUAGUUAUAAACUUGGACCUAUUCUUCAAAUCAUGUGUAUAUCAUUUUUAUGCUAUUUCACACAUGCAAAACAAAUGGUGCAAGCAUGCAUGUUAUAUGCACAGAAUUGUUGAAAGCUGGACUGCAAUGCAACAUGGAGCCAGAAGCAUGCAACUGUCGAGACCAGCAGCUAUCAAGCUCAGCUCAUUUUGCUUGGAGCGCACGAAUGGUUUUUGGACCAAAUGAAGCAACUGACAUUGCUGUUUUGUUUUGAUGUAAUUUAGUUCAGUUUGAUUGUAACUAGCUUUAAUAGUUAGUAGGAUUAAGUUAGUGAUUAGAUAGCUGAUGUAAAAGCUGAUAUGGCAGCUCAUUUUGUAUUUGACUUUAACUUAUUUUGGUUGUAAAUUAGUGGAUGCAGUUAGAUUAGUAGGUAACUAUCAAAUGAACAAAUUGUAACUCCUUUUUAUUUCAAAAAAUUUUGGAUGAAACGUAAUAAUGUUCAGUUACAAUUCUGGCUGUACAUUCAAGUUUCUUGCUUGCUGCUCUGCUUGUUUUUCUUUUCUGCUUCGUUUACUCUUGCUUCUGCUUGCAAAUCUCUUUGUUGCUGCUGCCAUUGUUCCAACAAGAAUACAUAGAUUAAUUACGUGUGGAUCAUUAAGAAUGCCUAUGUAUUGGAAAUUGGCCAACCAUGCUGCUGUUACAUUUUGUGUUGAAGUGCAUGCAGCUUGAUGACAUGCUGCAGCACAUAUGCUUGCUGUAACAGCAAGGUUUCUCUUUAGUUUCAUCCUAAUUAAACUAGUUGAAAAUGAACAAGUUGAUGACAACUUGAUGCAUGAGGUGUUGAAUGAUUAGUUUAGGUGGCUUGUUUAUGUGUACAAGCAAUGUUUUAAUAGUCCCAAUGCUGAUUAGUGGGGUUAGUUGACUAUUUGGUGAUGUAUUUGACUAUAAAUGUAUGUUUUUUUUCGUUGAAUGAAUGAGCUGAAUAAGCUAUCAGCCAUAUGCUCCCUUGCUGCACAUUUGUGAGCAAGUAAAAAUACUUCUUGCAUCUUGCUUCAUUGUUCUGUGCUCUCUGUUCUCUUCUUUUGCUGCUGCCAAUGCUCCAACACUAUGUUUGACCAUUGUGUGUGGCUACUUUUUUUUUACAUGAUCCAAUUUUCGAUAUGAUAUGCUUUGCUUUUAGGUUGAAUGCGGAAAAGAUUAGAACUUAAUUUCCAGCAUAAUGAUUUGUCUUGGAUAUGCAGAUUUUUACAUGCAUUUCUUAAAAGUCAAUAUUUUAUAGAUUCGGGCAUGUUUAUCACAACCUUCAGCCACGUGUGACAAGGACACUGCUCCACGCUUUUUUGGACCCAACGAAAACAUUUCCCCAGCAUUACGGAGCAAUUCAAGGGUUAGCAUGUUAGAAAUCAAACCCACUCCAAGCAUAAUCUAGAAGCAUGAGACGUGGAGCAAUUUUGUGCCAUGCAAAGUGCUGAAAUUUUAGCCAUACAAAGUGCUCCAUUAUUGAGAUGUUUUGUGGCUGGAAAUUAAGUGGAUUAAUAGCCACAUUUGUUGUCACUUUAUCAGCCUAUAAAUAGAGGCUUGAACUUGUGUUGUAAAAAAGAAGAAAAAUGAGAAGAAAAAAGAAAUAAGAGAAGCAACGUGAGUGAGAGUGAGAAGGUUAGCAAACCUUGAGUGAGUUAAAAUCUAGCAGCAGCUAGACUAUCUAGUCAUUGAGAAAAUAUUUGUAAUCUUCGUAUUGUAAUAUAUUGAGUGUGUAAUAAAAAGUAAAUUUUCGGCCCAUCACGUUUCCAACAAGUGGCAUCAGAGCUACGGUUCGGAGCUUGGUUCGGAGUUCGGUUCGUGUCCGGUUCGUGUCCAGUUCGGAGUACCUUUGGUGUUCAUCUAACAAGUCGAUAUGGGCGACGUAAUUCAGCUACAAGUUCCACAAUUGACGAAGACAAAUUAUGGAAAUUGGAGCAUUCGAAUGAAGGCUUUGCUCGGUUCGCAAGAUUGUUGGGAGAUCGUUGAAAAAGGAUACAUCGAGCCCGGAGAUGCCGCUACAGAAGCAGCUUUAUCAAAUGACGCUAAGAAGGCGUUACGAGAAGCACGAAAGAAGGAUCAAAAGGCCUUGAAUAGUAUCUUUCAAGGUAUGGAUGAAUCAACCUUCGAGAAAAUAUCAGAUGUGAAGAACGCGAAGAAUGCAUGGGAGAUUUUGCAAAAAUCAUUUCAAGGUGUAGAAAAAGCUAAAAAGGUACGCCUUCAGUCACUUAGAGCUGAAUUUGAAAUGUUAAAAAUGAAGAGCUCCGAGAAUAUCGAUGACUAUGCCAAUCGUGUAAAAUCGGUGGUAAAUGAAAUGAAACGAAAUGGAGAAACUCUUGACGAGGUAAGAAUGAUGGAGAAAAUUCUACGGUCACUCACACGCAAAUUCGAGUACGUAGUCGUUGCCAUCGAAGAAUCAAAAGAUUUGUCAAAGAUGUCGCUCGAAGAACUUGUGGGUUCUCUGCAAGCCCAUGAGCAAAAGAUGAAGCUAAAUGAAGAUAGUGAAAAUCUUGAUCAAGCCUUGCAUAGCAAGUUGUCCGUCGACGACGGAGAAACAAGUAAUAACUUUAACCAAGGAAGAGGAAACCGCAGAGGAUACCGUGGAGGCUACCGUGGUGGAAACAGAGGAGGAAGAGGAUCACGAGGACGUGGAAAUCAAUCAUAUGGGAGAUAUCAAGAAAAUAAAGAUUAUCAAACAUCCAACCGUGGACGUGGAUCUAGAGGUCGUGGCCGAGGCAGAUUUCAAGAAAAUAAAUCUCAGGUACAAUGCUACAACUGUAACAAGUAUGGACAUUUCAGUUACGAGUGCAGAUCAACACACAAAGUGGAUGAAAGAAACCAUGUAGCAGUCAUAGCAGAAGGCAACGAAAAAGUGGAAUCAAGUGUCUUUCUCACUUACGGAGAAAAUGAAGAUCGCAAGAGAAGUGUGUGGUAUCUCGACAACGGUGCAAGCAACCACAUGUGUGGAAGAAAGGAGCUGUUCACAGAAUUAGAUGAAACAGUUCAUGGACAAAUAACUUUUGGAGACAACUCACAUGCAGAAAUCAAAGGAAAGGGCAAGGUUGUUAUAACACAAAGGAAUGGAGAGAAGAAGUACAUCUCAGACGUUUACUACGUACCAGCUUUGAAGAGCAACCUGAUCAGUCUUGGUCAACUCCUAGAAAAAGGAUAUGAAGUUCAUAUGAAAGACCGCUCACUCGCCAUCAGGAACAAAAGUGGAGAAUUAGUUGUUCGAGUUGAUAUGACGCGAAAUCGUCUUUUCACCCUCGACAUCGAGUCUGGAGAAGUAAAAUGCAUGAAGACGGAUCUGAAGAAUGAAUCAUGGUUGUGGCACUUAAGGUACGGACAUCUCGGAUUUUCUGGCUUGAAGCUGUUGUCGAAGACAAAUAUGGUGAAUGGAUUACCAAGUAUUAAUCAUCCAGAUCAACUGUGUGAAGCCUGUGUCAAAGGAAAGUAGCAUAGGCAGAAAUUUGAAGUAGGAAAAUCUCGAAGAGCUAGAAGACCAUUGGAAAUUGUACACACCGACAUAUCUGGUCCGUACGACAUUGAAUCACUCGGUGGAAACAGGUACUACCUAACUUUUAUUGAUGAUUAUAGCAGAAAAUGUUGGGUUUAUUUUCUCAAAGCAAAAUCGGAAGCCCUAGAAAAAUUCAAGGAGUUCAAAGCAAUGGUGGAAAAACAGAGUGGUCGAUAUUUGAAGAUACUCAGAUCCGAUAGAGGAGGCGAGUAUACUGCAAAGCUUUAUGAAAGUUUCUGCAAAGAUCAUGGAAUCAUUCAUCAGUUAACAGCCAGACGCACUCCACAACAAAACGGAGUUGCAGAAAGGAAGAAUCGGACAAUUCUGGAUAUGGCAAGAAGCAUGAUAAAAGGUAAACACCUUCCGAGAAAUUUCUGGGCUGAAGCCGUUGAAUGCGCAGUUUAUCUGUUGAAUCAAUGUCCAACAAAAAGUGUAAGACACAAGACACCAGAAGAAGCAUGGAGCGAUCACAAGCCAAGAGUUGGACACCUCAAAAUUUUUGGAUGCAUUGCAUAUGCACACGUUCCUGAGCAACAGAGGAAAAAGCUUGACGAUAGAGGAGAGAAGUGUAUCUUUAUAGGCUAUGACAAAAGAAGUAAGGCCUACAGACUUUAUAAUCCUCUUACUAAGAAAUUGAUUAUCUCAAGAGAUGUCGAGUUCGAUGAAGCGGAUUACUGGAGAUGGAGUGAAGAAGAAAAGAAAGUGGAAGGAUUAUUUUUCAACGAAGACGACAAUGAUGUCAUCAACCAAGAAGAACAAGGCGAUGAUCAAAGUCCUGGUACAACAGCCCCUUCGUCACCAACCAGCAGCAGCGGAAGCAGCAGCUCAGAUGAAGCACCCACAAGAACACGGAGUCUCAACGACAUCUACAAUUCUACGGAACCUGUAGAGACGCAGUUCGAUUAUUCACUAUUCUGUCUAAUGACAGAAUGUGAUCCAGUGACAUACGAAGAAGCAAUUGAAGACAAUAAAUGGAAGAAGGCCAUGGACGAGGAGAUUGCUGCAAUAAGAAGGAAUGACACGUGGGAGCUAACAAGUCUGCCAGAAGGACAUAGCCCGAUUGGUGUCAAGUGGGUGUACAAGACGAAGACCAACAAAGAAGGAAAAGUAGAGAAAUACAAGGCAAGACUAGUCGCCAAAGGCUACAAGCAAAGACAAGGAGUGGACUAUGAUGAAAUAUUUGCUCCAGUCGCAAGAAUAGACACAAUUAGGCUUCUCAUAGCGGUCGCAGCACAAUACAAAUGGAAAAUCUAUCAGAUGGACGUCAAGUCUGCAUUCCUGAAUGGCUACUUGGAGGAGGAAGUCUACAUAGAACAACCACCUGGAUAUAGCAUACAAGGAAAGGAGGACAAAGUCUACCGAUUAAAGAAAGCUUUGUAUGGAUUGAAGCAAGCCCCAAGAGCAUGGAACACAAGGAUCGACGAGUACUUCCGAAGAAAUGGAUUCAUCAAAAGCCCGCACGAGCACACCCUGUACACAAAGAAGAAUGGAUAUGGAGAUAUCAUGAUCGUAUGCCUAUAUGUGGAUGACAUGAUCUUCACCGGAAACAAUCCAGGUAUGUCUGAUGAUUUCAAGAAAGCUAUGACUAAAGAAUUUGAAAUGACAGAUAUCGGUGAGAUGUCAUACUUUCUUGGAGUCGAGGUGAAACAAAUGCAAGAUGGAAUUUUUGUCUCUCAAAAGAAGUAUGCGGAGCAGAUUUUGAACAAGUUCAAAAUGAAGGAUUGCAAGCCAGUAGUCACGCCAGCUGAUCCAGGGAUGAAGCUAAGUGUUGAUUCGACAAGGGAGUCGAUAAAUCCGACGUUGUUUAAAAGUCUCGUUGGAAGUUUAAGGUAUUUGACAAUCACACGACCAGAUAUUACAUAUGCAGUAGGAUUGGUGAGCAGAUUCAUGGAGAAGCCGAAGCAAGACCACUUAAUUGCCGCAAAAAGAAUUUUGAGAUAUAUCAAAGGUACGAUGAACCAUGGUUUAUUCUAUACCCACUCACAAGAUUCAAAAUUAGUUGGCUACUCAGAUAGCGAUUAUGGGGGAGACUUGGAUGAUCGGAAAAGCACUUCCGGAUAUGCAUUCCACAUCAAUUCCGCAGUUUUUUCAUGGUCGUCAAAGAAGCAACAAACAAUUGCUCUCUCAACAUGUGAAGCAGAGUAUAUGGCCGCAGCAACUUGUACAUGCCAAGCAAUGUGGUUGAAGAAUAUUUUGGGAGAAAUAGGUGUUUCAAAUGAAGGUCCAAUUACCAUCUACGUUGACAACAAAUCCGCUAUAUCACUUGCCAAGAAUCCGGUGUCGCACAGCCGAAGCAAGCACAUCGAUACGAAGUAUCAUUUUAUCCGAGAGCAAGUGAAAAACAAAAACGUGGAGUUGGUCCAUUGCAGGACAGAAGAUCAACUGGCAGAUAUUUUCACAAAGCCGUUGAAAGUGGAGACAUUCAACAAAUUCAAAGAGAAGCUCGGUAUGAAAGUUGGGUUUGAGGGGGAGUGUUAGAAAUCAAACCCACUCCAAGCAUAAUCUAGAAGCAUGAGACGUGGAGCAAUUUUGUGCCAUGCAAAGUGCUGAAAUUUUAGCCAUACAAAGUGCUCCAUUAUUGAGAUGUUUUGUGGCUGGAAAUUAAGUGGAUUAAUAGCCACAUUUGUUGUCACUUUAUCAGCCUAUAAAUAGAGGCUUGAACUUGUGUUGUAAAAAAGAAGAAAAAUGAGAAGAAAAAAGAAAUAAGAGAAGCAACGUGAGUGAGAGUGAGAAGGUUAGCAAACCUUGAGUGAGUUAAAAUCUAGCAGCAGCUAGACUAUCUAGUCAUUGAGAAAAUAUUUGUAAUCUUCGUAUUGUAAUAUAUUGAGUGUGUAAUAAAAAGUAAAUUUUCGGCCCAUCACGUUUCCAACAUAGCAUCCCUUGGACCCAGUGUGGUAUAAUUCUAAUCUCAAAUAUUUACUAGCAACACAAUAAGAUACUGGUUUGUGGGAUCAAUUGGUCAAAGAUAUUGCAAUGAUAGCCAUCUUUUUAAGUCCAUUUCUUUCAGAAAACUGUUUUGUCACUCUUUUCUGCAAGAUCCGAAGAAAGAAAGAACUUGGAAAUCUAUAGUCCAAAAGUGUAAAUAUGCGGUUUCUCUAUAGGUAUCUUUAUUAUGGCAUCUGUAAAGUUUGUCUUUCAUAUGUUUGAGUAACGCUUCUUCUUCCAUAUGUAGGUUCGUUUACUUAUACUACCAAAUCUUGAAGCGUAUUUGCAGCUUUUUGAACCUGAAAUAAAAAGACACGAGGCCUGGUGUGUUUAUGGGGCACUGCUGGUAAGUUUAACAUCAAAUUUGGUACCAGUUUAUGAGCAUCGUUUCAUUUAUUUGCUGUAGAACUAACAACACUGCAUAAAAUUUCCACUAACAGCGUGCAGCUGGACUGUGCAUGUAUGAUCGGCUUAAAAUGUUACCCAGUUUGCUAGCACCCUCAACUCGUCCCGUCUGGAAAAGCAACACCAAAGUUGCGACAAGUAUGAUUUCUUCGAACCAUCAUAUUUACACUUAAUCCACAAAUCUCUUCUCCCCCUUUACGAUAUUCCUUUUUCUGAUCAAUCAAGAUAAACGAAAAGCAAGCACGGACACCUUGAUGCAGCAGCAACCAACUGCCAAGAAAAUAGCAACUGAGAGUGCAAUAGGUAUGAUGCCGAUAAAUUCCAUGCAAACUGAUUUACAAGGGGCAGUUAGCGGCUUUUCUACCACCGUAGGAGGUUCCAGUAUCUGUGUAUCAUCAAUGUCACGGCCGUUAUCAAACGAUAACAUGCUUGGAAGGGAGGUUGGGGGUCGAGUUUCAAAGACAUCAACCGUUCUAGCUCAGGCUUGGAACCGGGGAACUUGUUAGCAUCAUUAUUUGAACUUUUUGGUGAAAGUAUGUUAUCAUUUACUCCCAAACCUGAGCUUUCAUUCUUCCUUUGAUUAAAUUUCACCUCCAAAAGCUAUGGUUUUUGAAGGAAUUUGUGUAAUUAAUCCCCAUAGUUUUUUUCAGUCUUACUGUGUUUAUCUUUAUAAGUCUUCUUUCUUUUUUUUCCUUGCUCAUAAAUGUAUUGUAGUUAUCAAAAAAUAUAUUCUACUUUGGAUUUUAUUUAUAUUAAAUUUUACGUUAAAUUCUGCUAUUAGUCUCUGUACUUUACGAAAAUGAUGGAUUUAGUCCUUAUACCUUAAUUUGAUCAAUUUUAGUCAUUGUAUUUUUUGAAUUGGUCAAUUUUAAACUAUCUACCUUUUAAAUUUUGAAAUUUUAGUCUUGACCCAAAUAAUAAUAAUAAUAAUAAUUAAAUCUGCUUAUUUAAAUUCAAUUAUUAGUUUUGUAUUAUGUAGACAGAUAUAGAUUUAAUCCAUAUUUUUCAAUUGGGUCAUUCCAAGUCUUUAUACUUUUCAAAUUUUGAAAUUUCAAUAUUGAUGCAGAACGAGAGUUGUUAUUAAUUAAUUGAUUAUUUAGCAAGUAUAUGUAGAAAUAACAAGUUGGCAUGUCAUUAUACUUAAAAAAAUAUAUUGGCUUAACCCACCUAAAUUAUGUCUUUUUUUCCAUCUUCGGACCUCAAUUUUUUUAGGGUCAUAAGUGGUACCUAAACUACUUUUUUUCUCCUUCAAAUUAGUAUCUUCAUUAGUUAAACCGUUAAGUCUAUUUAAAAAAGAAAGACUCGAACAACAAAUUAAUACCUAAAACAAUGCUCUUUUUCCCAAUGUAUCUAAUUUUUAUUUUGGCCAUAAGUACUACUAAAACUAUUCUUCCGUUACUCGUUUUACACAAAAUGUUAUAUCGGCUAAAAAGAUUGCAACAAAUAAUAGAUUGUAUGUCAUAUAAACUUUUAAAAAUAAUUAUUAAUUAAUUAUUUUUUAUAUUUUUCUUUCUUAUUCCUUUAUAAUGUUUGACAAUGCCGAUAAUGUUUGAAAUUGGCCCACUUGAGGUCGAAACGCUGGUGAUUAAUUUUGGUUUUGAAUUUCACCACCUAUUUCUCUGACCUGAGGGGAUAAAAAAUGUUCUUUCAUUGAUCAAAACUAGUGUUUUCAAAAACAGACUGAUUCAACCGGAAAUAGGGGUUGAAUCAUUGACUUGCGAGCAAAAACAAAUCAGUUGAACUAAGCUAAAAAAAACUAGUUGAACUAGUUCUCUCUAUUUAUAUAUAUAAAAAUAAUAAUAGUCUUUUUUUUAUUACAUGUCAAUUUUUAUUUGGUUAUUUUUUUUUCAUAUAAACUGAACGGUUUGACUAAUGACGGAGGUACCAAAUUAUAGUCUAGGUACCAAUUUAUGGGUUAAGCCUAUUUCUAAAAUAGACUUUUGACUAAUGGCGGUAGUAACUUGGGAAAAAAAAGUAGUUUAUGUACCACUUGUGACCAAAAAUAAGUUUAGGUACCAACAUCGUAAAAUGAGUAUAAUUUAGAUACCGAUUUAUGAGUUAAGCCUAAUAUAUUUGUCGCAUCAUUUUUUAAAAAUAACAGAACUUAAUAAAUUUAACGAUUAUUGUUUGAUGAUGACUAAAAUUUUAAAAUUUGAAAAGUACAUGAACUAAAAAUGACCAAAUUAAAGUAUAAAGAUUAAGUCCACAACUUUUGCAAAGUACAAGGACUAAUAGCAGAAAUUAACCUAAAUUUCAUAUGGGUCAAUUACAAAAAUAAUCACUAAGCUAUUCCUUUGGUUCUAUUCUAGUCAUUCAACUAUAGAGGUGCUCAUGAGUUGGGCCAGGUCAGGCCUAAGGAUGAUAUUAACGUACUUUAUACUUGCUCAAGCUUGGCUCGGCCCGAAAUAUGAGCUUAAAUUUUCACCUAAACUCAUCCAUAUUUGCAAAAGACUAACGCAAGCUCAUUUUAGGCAUGCUUAUAUAAUUUUUAGUUUUUGUUUAAAUAUUUAUAUUAUAUUAUUUUAAUAUUUAAUAAUUUAAACAUUUUUUAUUUAUUGAAAAUUUUUAUAUAGUCAUCUAAUUAACAUUAUUUUAAUGUUUACAUUAUAGUAUUAUUAUAUAUUUAAUAUAAGUUUAUUUUUUAAUCUGUUCUAAAUUUUAUAAUAUAAAGUAUUAUACACUUAAAAAUGGGCCGGGCUGGGCUCGAGCUUUGAAUGUUCAAGCCUGAACCCAGCCCAAAUUUUAAACGGGCCUAUUUUUUUUUUACCCAAACCUAAUUUUUGGGCCUAAUAUUUUUAUCCAGACCCUCCCAAAUUUUUGGACCUUGCCAAGUAGCCCAACUCAUUAACAAGUUUACUCAACUAUUAAUUUUUUCGAUUUAGUUGUUAACCUUUUCGAAAGUAAAUAUUUUAGUCACUCUCCUGUUAGUUGUUGCUAAAUGAGUGACGGAAAGCUAAUGUGGGUUUUUUUUAUUAGUCUAAUAACAAAUUUAGCCCUAAAUGUUAACAAAACUUGUCAUUUUAGUUCAAAUUCUAAAAAUUUUAAUAAAUUUAACCCUUAAUAUUUUCAAAAAUUAGCAAUUUAGUUCUAAUUCUAAAAAUUUUAAUAUAUAUUUAAAAAAAUAUUUUUAAUCCUCUGUCUCACCCUUUGAUUUUUUUAGAUGAGCUAAAAUCAAAACAUAUCGUUAUAUCUUUUUGUUUUAAUGCUAAAAGAGAUAAAAAAAAUGAAAAGCUAAAAUGACUUUUCGUUUGUAAAGUUAAAAAAUGCUAAAUAAAUCAUUAUGUCUUUUUAGUUUUAAUUUUUUACUUGAUUAAAAGAGAAAUAAUUAACGAAUAAAAAAUAAUUAUUCCCAAAUAAAUUUAUCAAAAUUUAUAAUAAAUGAGAUUUUGAAUUUAUCAAAAUAUAUAUAAGUAUACACAUUUUUAUGAAAUAUAAGAUUUUGCUAAAAGAAAAAGCAUACAAAAGUAUACACCUUUUUAUGAAACACAAGAUUUUGCUAAAAGAAAAAUAUAUGGUAAAAGGAAGACUAAGUGGUGGUUAAAAAAUACAAAAAAUUUUGAAAAUCUAAUAUCCAUAACUUUUCAAUGUAAAAGAAAAACAGACUGUAACACCAAUGUUGUGGUUUUAUUUGUUGCCUAUAAAUGCCAUUCCUAUCCUUCAUCUUCCUCUACCAACAUAACAUGGCCUCCUAUCUCUUUCUCUGCCUAUUCCUCUUCUUUCCCCAUCUUUAUGCUUCUUUUUCUUCUUCAGGAUCUCACUCCUGCUCUUCACUAACCCAGUUCAAGAAUUCUUUUUCCAUCACUCAGACAGAGGGUGCUUCUUUGUCUUGCAAUGAGAUUGCUGGCCUUAAAUCUUAUCCCAAGACAAAUUCAUGGAAGGAGGGUACAGAUUGCUGCUCAUGGGAUGGGGUCACUUGUGACCACCUAAAUGCUCAUGGUAUUGCCCUUGACUUGAGCUGCAGUUGGCUAUAUGGCAACUUCCCUCCCAAUACCACUCUCUUCCUUCUUCCUCACCUUCAAAAACUCAACCUUGCCUUCAAUGAUUUUAAUCUUUCCAAAAUUCCAUCCGAGUUCGGUGGGUUUACAAGCCUAUUCUACCUCAACCUUUCUCAUACAGGGUUUGCAGGACAAGUCCCAUCCCAAGUCUCCCACCUGUCAAAAUUGGUUUCACUUGAUAUCUCCUCUUCGAUUUAUGACUAUGAGAAAUUUACAAUUGACAAACAUGCUCUGGAGGGACUUGUUCACAACCUAUCCGAGGUCAGACAUCUGUUUUUGGAUGGAAUGGACAUGUCUUCUGUUAAUGCUCAUGUCUUCAUGAAUCUAUCCUCUUCUCUAAGGUCUCUCAGUCUUGCUUAUUGUGAUUUGCAAGGAAAAUUCCCAAAAAACAUUUUUGAUUUGCCAAACCUCAAUCUCCUCAACUUGGGAAGCAACCCAAUCCUCAGUCUUGAUCCUUUGAAGUUGAAUCGGAGCAGCAAUCUUGAACAUUUGGAUCUGUCGUCCAUGUCCUUCUCUACAGAAUUCAUUGAUUCAGUUGAUAAUCUACAGGCCUUAAAGUACUUAGAUCUAUCAGGACAUUUUUUCUCUCAACGAUUGUCUGUCUCAAAAACAAAAUCGGGGUACUUGUUUACUGGAGACGCAAAUUUUUUUGGAGGAUUGCCUGACUCGAUGGGGAAUCUUGUGUCUUUGAAGUUUUUAGAUCUCUCCUAUUCCAACUUAUCAGGAACGGUUCCAAGAUCACUGGGGAAUCUCUUGCAACUCACUCAUUUAGACUUGUCGGGGAACCAAUUUAGUGGACAAAUUCCAUCGUCAAUUCUAAACCUAACGCAGUUGGAAUACUUGAAAAUAUCUGAAAAUUCAUUAGAAGGUUCCAUUCCAGAUGAGGUAACCGCUUUUCCUAAUUUAAUAUAUUUAUACUUAGAUAACAAUUUACUUAAUGGAAUACUUCCGUCAUGGUUGUAUACUGCUCCCCCCUUAAAGAGAAUAGAUCUCUCUAAAAAUCAAUUCAGUGGACAUAUCAAAGAAUUCCAAUCCAAAUCACUAGAAUUGAUAUGGUUAGAGAAUAAUAAACUCCAAGGUCCUCUUCCAUCUUCAAUAUUCCAACUUCUCAAUCUUACCGGACUCAAGUUAUCCUCAAAUAAUCUUAGUGGUGUCAUAGAGUUUAGCAUGUUCUCAAACCUUCCAAAUCUCGAAUAUCUUGACCUUUCAUAUAACAGCCUAUCCUUAACAUCUAAUACUACUUCUACUGUUAAUCUUACAAGCUUAUUUUUGUCAUCUUGCAAUCUUAGUGAAUUCCCCCAAUUUUUGAAAGGGCUUAAAAGUUUGGAAAGCUUAGACCUCUCUUGCAACAAAAUUGAAGGCAAGAUUCCACAGUGGAUGCAAGAGGUGGGGAAUGGCUCUUUGACUUACUUAAAUGUAUCUCACAACUCUUUGACAGAAGUUGAGCACUUUCCAUGGAAUAAUAUUGCAGUUCUUGACUUAAGCUCCAAUUUGAUCCGUGGAAAUCUUCCGAUUCCAGCUUCGACCAUAAGAGUCUUUUUGAUCUCAAAUAAUAGUUUCAAUGGAGAGGUCUCUUCUUUAAUAUGCAAUGCCACUUAUCUUCAAAUUCUUGAUUUGUCCCACAAUUACUUGAGUGGAUCAAUUCCGCAAUGUUUUGGAAAUUUGAGCUACUGGCUUGAAUUCUUGAAUCUGAAGAAGAAGUUUUAUGGGACGAUUCCUCCAGCAUUCGCAAAGGGAUGCCAAUUGAGUAAUUUCAACUUAAAUGGAAAUCUGUUAGAAGGGCCUUUGACACCAUCCAUCCUUAAUUGUAGAGGUCUGGAAGUGCUAGAUCUUGGUAACAACAAGAUCAAUGAUACAUUUCCUCAUUGGUUGGGCAGUCUUCCAUUUUUGCAAGUUCUUGUAUUGAAGGCUAUCAUAAAUCUAGAGAAGAUUGGGAGUACAAUGUCGUACAUGGGGGUGAAUUGUCCUGGAAGUGGCUUCUAUACCUAUUCCAUUGGAAUUGUUAUGAAAGGACAAGAUAUGGACUUGGUGAAAAUUUUCACCAUGUGGAUGAUCAUUGAUCUAUCAAACAAUCAGUUUGAAGGGGGUAUUCCAGAGGUUUUUGGGAAGCUUAACUUACUGAAAGGGCUCAACCUUUCUCAUAAUAACCUUAAUGGUGGUAUCCCCACCUCAAUAGGGAAUUUGACAAGUCUUGAAUGGUUGGACCUAUCUUCAAACAGGUUGUCUGGGACGAUUCCAAAUAGAUUGGCAGAUCUGCCAUUUCUUUCGUCCUUCAAUGUUUCUGAAAAUAAACUCCAUGGUCAGAUUCCUCAAGGCAAACAGUUAAACACAUUUGGAAAUGAUUCAUAUGAAGGAAACAAGGGAAAAUAAACUCCAUGGUCAGAUUCCUCAAGGCAAACAGUUCAACACAUUUGGAAAUGAUUCAUAUGAAGGAAACAAGGGAUUAUGUGGAUUUCCGGUCUCAAAAGGUUGCAACAUCAUUGAGCCACCACCUCCAAAUGUGCUUGAAAAAGAUGGCUCAAAAUCAAACAUUACUUUUGGUUGGAAAGUGGUGUUGAUAGGUUAUGGAUGCGGAGUGGUGUUCGGAAUGUCCGUGGGAUAUGUUGUUUUCCAAACUGGUAAGCCGAAAUGGUUGGUGAAUUUGUUGAAAUCCAACAUGAGAAGAAGCGAAGAAGAAAGUCAAAGGAUGGCAGUCGCAGAAAUGGACGAAGAAGGAUCUAGUUAGUGGAAAUGAUGUUCAAGUGUUGAUGUUGUAUCUUCAUAAUUUCUUGUUUUGAAGUCUUUCAAUUUUUUUCCUAUGGUGAAAGGUUGCAUUGGCAUGCAUCUGUCUUUGUUAUUGUGACAAUUCAUCUAUAUUUCAUUGCAUUACAUAGUAUUUGUAAGGGUUUGUUUUAAAUGUAACAUUUUGUAUGGUUCAACUAUUUAUGUCUUCUUUCAUGACUUUCAUUUUUGAGUCUCAAUAAUCUCUGCAUUCAAGAUUUUGUCAGCUUAUUAAUUGGUAAAAAUUAUAUGAAUAAACUUUUAUAAAUAUAAAUAUGAAUAAACUUUUAUAAAUAUAAAGUGUAAUUUAUGAGUCGAGUUAUUCAAUAAGAAAAAAAAACCCUCAUUUCAAUGUUCAAUAUAUAUGAAAUUCUACAAAAUUAAUUUCUUCUAAUAUUUUUACUUUUUGUGAUUAAGUUUAAAAUACUUUUCAAUUACUAAAUCUUAGUCCGAGCCAACCUAUUGGCUCGACUAACUAUUUAGAAAAUAUAAUAUGUUUAUAUUAAAAAUUUUAUAUUUAAAUAAAAAUUCAAGACGAGUUGUCUAGAAUUUGUGAAAAUGCUGUCCACGACCUAGCACAUAUUGGACAAUCCUAUUGAACUAGGUAGGUAGUGUGAGCUUGCCUUGAAAGUGCUAAUAAAUCCAAUUGAGUCAAGACUUAAGACUUCUUAUUCAACUUUAGACCCAAAUUGGGUAAUCAUAUUAGACGGAUAGUUUGAUACUUAAAUAUAUCUAAUCACAAUAUAUAUAAUUAAAUGAGCAAACAUAAAACCUUGGUUCUAAAACUCCAUGCUUCCUCUUUUGUUAACUUUAUGUUUAACUCUUCGGCCAACUUUUUCAAAUGUUGUAAGGUUCCCACUGUCAGUAUUAUACCAUUUUGAUCUCCACUAUUACAUUAUAAUCAUAUUAAAAAAAUAAAAAAAAUAGAAAAAAAUCAGUCAAAUGGCAUGAUAAUUUCUUUUCAAAAUUGUUCACUUUGAUUCUUCAUACAUAUUUAACUUAUUUCAAGAAAGUAUUGGAAAAAAUUAUGGCAUACAAAUAUAAUACUAACCUGAAUAUUGUAAUGGGAAUGGCUUGUUGAAGAAGGUUUUUAAGUGCAGGGAGCAUGUCAAGGUCCUUAUCAGCUUCGUUGUAUUUAAAAUUAGUUCUAAAAAAAUAAGAGUGAAAUAUAAUGAAAAUUUUAAGGCUAGCAAUUUUUACACGACAUUCACCUCAAUAAACAAGUAAUUUAUUUUAUUUUCUUAAGAAAUAGGUGACAAUAUAGAAAGAGAAAAAUUGACCGCGAGUUUUAAAACUUGAAUUUAAAAUAAUUUCUAAAAAGUAUUUAUAUGAAUAUAUUGGAAAAAAAGUUCAUCUUGUCUCAAAUUUUAGGGGAAAACUUACGUGAAAUAACCCUUCCAUCUAUAUGACAAGUUGGUUCGAAUCCCAUGGAAAGCUUUUUGAACUUCUGAAAGAAUAAAGUAAAAUUGCACUCUUAAUGGAAGACACAUGUCUACUUCUGUGCUAACUAUAAGAACCAAUACUAAAAAAUAAAGUUUUACGCUUUUGAUAUAACCAAUAAAAGAAAAAUAACACAAAAUCAAUUUUACUCAAUUGAUCAGUUAAUUCAAUUCUAUAGGAACUUAUGUUAUAUGUAGUUUCGAGUUGAAGUAAAAUAAGAGGAAUGUAAAGAACUAAAUGAAAACAUGUUUUCCCAAGUCCAAAUCUAGCUCAUUUUCAGCAUUAGGAGGGCGAAAGACAACAAAUAGCUUUUGUCAGGAGUAAUUAUGAGCAUUGGUCUUGAAAGUAGCCAAACCGGCCUCGAACUCAAGGUUUUUGCAUUUUGCGCUUCAAGUGGUUGCAGCAUCAAUGAGACACGACCUCCAAAUGUGCUGGAAAAGGAUGGCUCAAAAGCAAACAUUGCUUUUGGUUGGAAAGUGGUGUUGGUAGGUUAUGGAUGCCGGGUAGUGUUUGGAAUGGCCAUGGGAUGUGUUGUUUUCCAAACUGGUAAGGCAAAAAGGUUCGUGAAUUUGGUUGAAGACCAACAUGAGAAGAGGCGAAGAAGAAAGCCAAAAUAUAGCAAUAUCGCAUCAAUGGAUGAAGAAGGAUCUAGUUGGUUCAAAUGAAGUUAAAGCAUUUGUGCUGUGUCUGCAUAAUUUCUUGUUUAGUAGUCUGUCAGAAAGUUUUUCCUAUGGUGAAAAGUUGCAUUGGUAUGUGUCUGUUUUUAUGAUUGUACCAAUUCCUCUGUAUUUCAUUGCAUUUCGUACUAUUUGUAAGGAUUUAGUUCUAGUGUAACAUCUUGUAUGGUGCAACUAUGUAUGUCUUCUUUCUUGAAUUUCAAUUUUUAGUAAACAUUAUACUGCUCAACAUAAAAAAAAUACAUGUAGAAUUACAAAAGAUUCAAUUAUUCAAGUUCGAGUUGCAUUUAUAAACACGUGACGAUGAGAAUUCAUGAUGUGUUAUAAGCAAGAAGACUUUGUAAUCUCAUGAAUGUUAAUUAUUUUACUUCUUUGGUAAAAAAAAGUAAUCAAUCUUAUGAAUGAAAAAUAUAGGGUAAAGAGGAAGUAGUUGUUAACCUUUUCGAUUUAGUUGUUAACCUUUUCGAAAGUAAAUAUUUUAGUCACUCUCUUGUUAGUUGUUGUUAAAUGAGUGACCAAAAGCUGAUGUGGGCUUUUUUUAUUAGUCUAAUAACAAAUUUAGGCCUCCAAUGUUUACACAUUCUAUCAAUUUGAUCCUAGAUAUAAAAAAAAUCAACAAAUUUAGCCCUGAAUGUUAACAAAACUUGUGAUUUUAGUUCAAAUUCUAAAAAAUUUAAUAAAUUUAACCCUUAAUAUUUUCAAAAAUUAGCAAUUUAGUUCUAAUUCUAAAAAUUUUAAUAUAUAUAUAUUUUAAAAAAUAUUUUUAAUCCUCUGUCUCACCCUUUGAUUUUUUAGAUGAGCAAAAAUCAAAAUAUAUCAUUAUGUCUUUUUGUUUUAAAGCUAAAAGAGAUAAAAAAAAUGAAAAGCUAAAAUGACUUUUCGUUUGUAAAGUUAAAAAAUGCUAAAUAAAUCAUUAUGUCUUUUUAAUUUUAAUUUUUUACUUGAUUAAAAGAGAAAUAAUUAACGAAAGAAAAAUAAUUAUUCCCAAAUAAAUUUAUCAGGUUUUAGAUUUAAAUUAUGAGGCUAUAUAUAUAUAUAAGUAUACACAUUUUUAUGAAAUACAAGAUUUUGCUAAAAGAAAAAGCAUCCAAUUUUAAGAAUGAAAAAUAUAAAUCCUUUCAUUUUGAAUUGCAACUUUAUCCUGCCUAAAUUCCUCAACCAUGAACCACCCAUCAGGGCAGCCUCAAAAUGAACUUCCUUGGUCCGCCGGAUUCUGCGAUUGUUGCUCUGACCUGAAAACUUGUAACCCUUUCUUCUUUCUUCAAAAUCAGUUGUGUCAUUUUAAAUAUAUGAAUUAGUUUAUCAAUUAAAUAUAUGGACAUUUCAGGUUGCAUUUCAUACUGUUGCCCAUGCAUCACCUUUGGCCAGAUUGCUGAGAUUGUUGAUAAAGGGUCGACUUGUAAGUUAUUAAUUUCUAAAUUGAAAUCUUAUCAUCUUAGGUUUGCAGACAUAUAUAUAUUUAAAGAGAUAUUAUGUAAUUAAUAAUAAUGUUGAAAAACACUGUUGGAUGGUGCAGCAUGUGGGGCAAGUGGGGCAGUAUACACAUUAAUAAUGUUCAUCACCGGGUGUGGGUGCUUAUAUUCUUGCUGCUACCGAUCCAAACUGAGAAAGCAGUAUAACUUGAAAGGAGGCCAUUGUGGCGAUUGCAUGCGUCAUUUCUGCUGCGAGCCUUGUGCUUUGACACAAGAGUAUCGUGAGCUCCAGAACCGUGGAUUCGACAUGUCUAUCGGUAUGUCUACAUACCAAUAUUAUACCCCUUUUAAUUAUUCUUAAUAUAACUUCAAGUAUAUUAAUUGAGUAGCUGUAAACAAAUAUCUCCGAAUAAAUAUGUUAGUAAUGAUGAGAUAAAUUAUUGUUUGAGGUCAUUAAUUUUGUGGGGGUAUAUUUAUAUAUGCAGGUUGGCAUGCAAAUGUGGGAAGAACCCAGGGCUGGCAAUGGCUCCAGCGGUAGAAAAAGGCAUGAGCAAAUAGAUGAUGAUGAUGAUCGCUGCAUUAAUAUCGUCUUUAUAUGUAACACUUAAUUCCUUUGCUUUCCAUAAUUGGUGCCAAUUGGAUUUCAAGUUAUGUAUGUUUGUGAUUGUCAAAAUGUGACUCUGUUAAAUAGUAAAUAGCAUUUUUUAAAAGGGUUCAUAUAUAUCGUGAUACCUAAAGUUGGCAACUUCUACUUUGUAUCAAAAUCGGUACAUAAACUUGAAAAUUGUAAGUCAACUUGGUAUCGGUACAUAAACUUGAAAAUUGUAAGUCAACUUGGUAUUUUUAUAAGUAUGAUGAUGUUGGUGUAGUGUGAGGAAGAAGACUUGAAUGGGUUUGAUUAUUUUUAAUAAUACAGGAAUUUACGUAUUAUAAGUAAAUAGACACUCACAUUCUUUACGUAUUAUAAGGAAGAAGACUAAGUCAAUCUACUUUGUAAUCUCAUCAAUCUUAAUUUUCUCAAUUGUUCAGGGAGUUCAAAUGAAAUACAAAAUUUUGGUAAAAAAAUGUAUCCAAUUUUGUGAAUGAAAAAUAUAUGGUAAAAAAGAUUUGGUAUCAAUACUUCGGCGCGGGUAUCAAUACUCGAUACAUUGCUUUUGGUUGGAAAGUAGUGUUUGGAAUGGCCAUGGGAUGUGUUGUUUUCCAAACCGGUAAGGCGAAAAGGUUUGUGAAUUUGGUUGAAGACCAACAUGAGAAGAGGCGAAGAAGAAAACCAAAAUAUAGCAAUCGCAUCAAUGGAUGAAGAAGGAUCUAGUUGGUGCAAAUGAAGUUAAAGCCUUUCUGCUGUGUCUUCAUAAUUUCUUGUUUAGUAGUCUGUCAGAAAGUUUUUCCUAUGGUGAAAAGUUGCAUUGGUAUGUGUCUGUCUUUAUGAUUGUACCAAUUCCUCUGUAUUUCAUUGCAUUUUGUACUAUUUGUAAGGGUUUAGUUCGAGUGUAACAUCUUGUAUGGUGCAACUAUGUAUGUCUUCUUUCUUGAAUUUCAAUUUUUAGUAAACAUUAUACUGCUCACCAUAAAAAAAGAUACAUGAAGAAUUACAAAAUAUUCAAUUAUUCAAGUUCGAGUUGCAUUUAUAAACACGUGAUGAUGAUGAGAAUUCAUGAACAUAAGGUAUGGUUUGAGCCCUUUUGCCAUAUGCAUUUAUGUUGCAGGCGUUCAAACAUGGAAUAAUUCAACCUGCCUUUGUGUAUUCUUAAUUUUGUGCCAAACCUAUAUAUCUAUCGACAAAUUUAAGAAAAAUAUUUACAAUAGCAUUGCAGAGUAACAUAUUUAAGAUUGGAUUACACUGUCAAAAGAUUGCAGCAACGAUGAGAUUAAUCCAAUUACAGGAAUUGAUAUCCUAAAUGGCUUUUAGGUACGUAGCUUCAUUGACGGUACAAACGAGUUAAAAAUUCCAGCAUUCAUGUCUUUGUUUUCCCUCAAGUAAACGUAGUCAAUACUGCAAAUGGUGUGGAAGUAUUGUACAUUGUGGCCCAAAUGUCCAAAAUUUCCACAUUGCUUGUAAGUUAAGUUUGGAUGAGAGAGAUAGGAGGAAGCAACAGCAAGUGUGAAGUCAAUAGACAAUUGAUAGUCUUAGUGUUUGUCUUUUUUUGUCGAGUUAAAGUGUAGUCAAUAGACAAUUGAUAGUCUUAGCCCUUUUUGUGGAGUUAAAUUUAUAGUCAAUAGACAAUUCGAGUGGAACAUCUUGUAUGGUGCAACUAUGUAUGUCUUCUUUCUUGAAUUUCAAUUUUAGUAAACAUUAUACUGCUCACCAUAAAAAAAAUACAUGUAGAAUUACAAAAGAUUCAAUUAUUCAAGCUGUUUGAGUUGCAUUUAUAAACACGUGACGAUGAGAAUUCAUGAACAUAAGGUAUGGUUUGAGCCCUUUUGCCAUAUGCAUUUAUGUUGCAGAUGUUCAAACAUGGAAUAAUUCAACCUGCCAUAAGCAAGUGUGAAGUCAAUAGACAAUUGAUAGUCUUAGUCUUUGUCUUUUUUUGUCUGAGUUAAAGUGUAGUCAAUAGACAAUUGAUAGUCUUAGCCCUUUUUGUGGAGUUAAAUUUAUAGUCAAUAGACAAUUGGGACCAAACUUGACCUGUUAUAAGGAAGAAGACUUUGUAAUCUCACCAAUGUUAAUUAUUUUACUUCUUUGGUAAAAAAAAGUAAUUAAUUUUAUGAAUGAAAAAUAUACGGUAAAGAGGAAGUAGUUGUUGAUCACUAAUAACAUGAUGAUUGUGGAAAUACAAAAAAUCCCAUAUAUGUGUUGAAUUCUGCAUAAUGUAAAUGUCCCGCAUUGCAUGUGAAUUCUGCAAUAGACCAAACUUUAUGUGUUAUAGUCCUUUAAACUGAGUUAAUGAAAAGUAACCAUUCUUAUCAAAAUUAGUUAUACUCUUAAUUUAUAACAAAGAAAGGAGUAAUUUGAGUUUAACUCAAAGGUUAAUAUGUCAUCAAUGGGCGAUGGCGUGGUGCUACCAUGUCAGCCAUUAUUUUCUUCUUUGAGUUAAGGUGAUUUCACCAAUUUAAGUUUACUUUUUUACUUCAAUUUAGGUUUAUGCUUAUUACCUUCGAAGAUUCUAAGUGGGUGCCACAACCAAAGGGUGAGUAAAAAGGGUUAAAAAUAAUUUUUUUAAAAAUAUUUUUAUUUUUAUUAAAAAUUUAGAAUUAGAAUUAGAUAAAUUUUGUAAAUGUUAAGGGCUAACUUUAUUAAUUUUUUUUUCAUAAUUCGAACUAAAAUGACAAAUUUUGUAAAAAGCGCUAAAUUAGUUGAAUUUUUUAUAUUUAGGAUUAAAUUGAUAGAAUGUGUAAAUAUUAGAGGUUAAAAUUGUUAUUAGAUCAAUAAAAAACCCAUAUCAGCUUUCCGUCACUCAUCUAUCUACAACUAAAGGGAGAGCGAUUAAAAAAUUAGAAUGUUUGGAUCAUUUUUCUAAUUAAAGUCAUAGUGUAGGAGGCAAUUAAAUGCAUGCGCCACUCACGGUGGACGGUUUUGACAGCUGAUGACGUUGACAGUGCUCUUAAUCUGAGAAACGUGGAGGUACAUUUUCAAGUUUCAAAAAUUUUCUGUUUAUUGUAUUUUUUUAUUAUUCUUUUUCCUUUUUAGUUGAAAAUAGUGCUAAUUAAUGUUAUUUGUUUGACUAAUGUGAUAAUUUCUACUUCAUGUGUAUUAAUCCAUAAAUUUUAACAAGAGUGGAAUUUUGAGAACUUAGUUUUGGAAGUUUGAAUCUUAAGUUUAACCUGCUGCUUUAGAUUUUGCAUUUUGGUUAACUGGCUUGUGUUAUGUGUUUCUCUGGCAUCAGCCGAUAUGUGGAUUUGCCCCUCGUGAUGCACUACGAUUCAAGAAAGCUGCUGGGCAUAAGGAUUUGUUCUACAUUGAUGACAAAGAUGUGGAGUUUAAAGAAGUAGGAACUUAUCAACAAUAUUCGAGAUUCUGUUAUAUGUUGCCUUAUGUAUGUAGGUUCUUGAGUCACCUUUGCCAAGAGCACCACGUGAAUUUAUAUAAGUAUACACAUUUUUAUGAAAUACAAGAUCUUGCUAAAAGAAAAAGCAUAUAAAAGUAUAAACGUUUUUAUGAAAUACAAGAUUUUGCUAAAAGAAAAAGCAUCCAAUUUUAAGAAUGAAAAAUAUAUGGUAAAAGCAUCCAUAACUUUUCAAUGUAAAAGACAAAAAAGACUGUAACACCAAUGUUGUGGUAUUAUUUGUUGCCUAUAAAUACCAUUCCUAUCCUUCUUCUUCCUCUACAAACAUAACAUGGCCCCCUAUCUCUUUCUCUGCCUAUUCCUCUUCUUUCCCCAUCUUUAUGCUUCUUUUUCUUCUUCAGGAUCUCACUCCUGCUCUUCACUAAUCCAAUUUAAGGACUCUUUUUCCAUCACAGAGGAUGCUUCCUGGUAUUGCGAUGAGAUUGCUGGCCUUAAAUCUCAUCCCAAGACAGAUUCAUGGAAGGAGGGUACAGAUUGCUGCUCAUGGGAUGGGGUCACUUGUGACCACCUAAAUGCUCAUGUUAUUGCCCUUGACUUGAGCUGCAGUUGGCUAUCUGGCAACUUCCCUUCCAAUACCACUCUCUUCCUUCUUCCUCACCUUCAAAAACUCAACCUUGCCUACAAUCAUUUCAAUCAUUCCAAAAUUCCAUCCGAGUUCGGUCGGGUUUACAAGCCUAUUCUACCUCAACCUUUCUAAUACAUGGUUUGCAGGAGAAGUCCCAUCCCAAGUCUCGCACCUGUCAAAAUUGGUUUCACUUGAUCUCUCCUCUGAGUUUGGUGAACAAACAAUUGACAAACAUGCUCUGGAGGGACUUGUUCACAACCUAACCGAGGUCAGACAUCUGUUUUUGGAUGGAAUGGACAUGUCUUCUGUUAAUGCUCAUGUCUUCAUGAAUCUAUCCUCUUCUCUAAGGUCUCUCAGUCUUGCUUAUUGUGAUUUGCAAGGAAAAUUCCCAAAAAACAUUUUUGAUUUGCCAAACCUCAAUCUCCUCAACUUGAGAGGCAACCAAAACCUCAAUCUUGAUCCUUUGAAGUUCAAUCGGAGCAGCAAUCUUGAACAUUUGGAUCUGUCGUGGAUGUCCUCCUCUACAGAAUCCAUUGAUUCAGUUGAUAAUCUACAGGCCUUAAAGUACUUAGCUCUAUCAGGAAAUUCUUUCUUUCAACGAUUGUCUGUCUCAAUCACAAAAUUAUCUUAUUUGGAGUACUUGACACUUGAAGGCGCAAAUUUUUUUGGAGGAUUGCCUGACUCGAUGGGGAAUCUCGUGUCCUUGAAGUGUUUAGACUUGAGAUCAAACAAAUUGAGUGGACAAAUUCCAUUGUCAAUUCUAAACCUAACGCAGUUGGAAUACUUGGAUAUAUCUGAAAAUUCAUUAGAAGGUUCCAUUCCAGAUGAGGUAACCGCUUUUCCUAAUCUAAAACAUUUAGACUUAUCUGACAAUUUACUCAAUGGAACACUUCCGUCAUGGUUGUGUACUGUUCCCUCCUUAAAGAUAAUAUUUCUCUUUCAAAAUCAAUUCAGUGGGCAUAUCAAAGAAUUCCAAUCCAAAUCACUAGAAUUGAUAGUGUUACAGAAUAAUAAACUCCAAGGUCCUCUUCCAUCUUCAAUAUUCCAACUUCUCAAUCUUACAUCGCUUGCUUUAUCCUCAAAUAAUCUUAGUGGUGUCAUAGAGUUUAGCAUGUUCUCAAACCUUCCAAAUCUCGAAUAUCUUGACCUUUCAUAUAACAGCCUAUCCUUAACAUCUAAUACUACUUCUACUGUUAAUCAUAUAUUGCCUAAUCUUACAGACGUACUUUUGUCAUCUUGCAAUCUUAGUGAAUUCCCCCAAUUUUUGAAAGGGCUUAAAAGUUUGGAAAGGUUAGACCUCUCUUGCAACAAAAUUGAAGGCAAGAUUCCACAGUGGAUGCAAGAGGUGGGGAAUGUCUCUUUGACUUACUUCAACGUAUCUCACAACUCUUUGACAGAAGUUGAGCACUUUCCAUGGAAGAAUAUUGCAUUUCUUGACUUAAGCUCCAAUUUGGUCAGUGGAAAUCUUCCGAUUCCAGCUUCGACGAUCAGAGUCUUUCUGAUCUCAAAUAAUAGUUUCAAUGGAGAGGUCUCUUCUUUAAUAUGCAAUGCCAGUUCUCUUCAAAUUCUUGAUUUGUCCCACAAUAACUUGAGUGGAACAAUUCCGCAAUGUUUCGGAAAUUUGAGCGACAGCCUUGAAUUCUUGAAUCUGAAGAAGAACAAGUUUUAUGGGACGAUUCCUCCAACAUUUGCAGAGGGAUGCCAGUUGACUAAUUUCAACUUAAAUGGAAAUCUGUUAGAAGGGCCUUUGACACCAUCCAUCCUUAAUUGUAGAGGUCUGGAAGUGCUAGAUCUUGGUAACAACAAGAUCAAUGAUACAUUUCCUCAUUGGUUGGGAAAUCUUCCAUAUUUGCAAGUUCUUGUAUUGAAGUCAAAUCAUAUGCAUGGUUCUUUGCGUGUCAAUAGCUCCAAGUCUAGCCCCUUUUUCUCUAAAAUCCAAAUUUUUGACCUCUCAAGUAAUUAUUUUUCUGGACCCCUACCUGUGAGGUACAUCAACAGCUUCAAGGCUAUCAGAAAUCUAGAGAAGAUUCGUAGUACAGUGUCGUACAUGGGGGUGAAUGGUCGGAAUGGUAGUGGCUUCUAUACCUAUUCCAUUGGAAUUGUUAUGAAAGGACAAGAUAUGGAAUUGGUGAAAAUUUUCACCAUGUGGAUGAUCAUUGAUCUAUCAAACAAUCAGUUUGAAGGGGGUAUUCCAGAGGUUUUUGGAAAGCUUAACUUACUGAAAGGGCUCAACCUUUCUCAUAAUAACCUUAGUGGUGGUAUCCCCACCUCAAUAGGGAAUUUGACAAGUCUUGAAUGGUUGGACCUAUCUUCAAACAGGUUGUCUGGGACGAUUCCAAAUAGAUUGGCAGAUCUGGCAUUUCUUUCGUCCUUCAAUGUUUCUGAAAAUCAACUCCAUGGUCAGAUUCCUCAAGGAA